rnacentral:lncRNA from 1 species
AUGCAAUUUGGAGUUGGAGUUCGCCAGAUUCCGUGAGAAAUAAGUUGGGAGGAGGCAGCAGCCGGACUUACACCGCACAAUGGCAAAUAGUGUGCUAGAGGAAGAAGCUGCAAGGUAUGGGUUAGUUAUAAAUUCAAAGGGUAUAAGGGCACUAGGGUCUUCCUCUUCUAAUUUCUUUUAUUUUGGUUGGACUCCGAAGAGGGAGUAUUACGACUAUUCAGGGGCGCUAAGGGAGGGCAUUUAGGAAGGAAGUGGGUUACGAAAACCAAUUGCAGAUGAGCACGCUGAGAAAGGGGAUGGCUGUUGGGACUUGGUAGAGGUCAACAACGCCGACCCUUUGGAAAGGAAUUCGGGGUGGACUAUAGGCCAGACUGAAUCCCAAGAAGGAAGGAAGGAAAAACAGCUUAAUUAGGAGGAAAAUAGUCUGGUUAAGUUCAGUCAUUUUUUAGGCUUAUCAACUGAAGGGUUGGAGAAGGAAAUUUUGAACUUCUUGGGCAAAAUCAGGAAAAUGAGGGAGAAGAUACACAGUAAAGGUCUGCUGGAGAAUUCAAGAUUUGAAAGGGAGCUUAAGAGGCUGGAGUGUUCAAUUAAUUAUGAGGGGGAUGUUAAGAAAAAAGGUCCUAUUCAGGGCAGAGGGAACCAGAUCGCAGUUGCCCAAUGAACCUAAAAAUAUUGAGUUGGAAUGUGAGGGGAGUGAAUGAUAGUUCCAAAAUGAAAUUAAUUAAGUCCGUUGUAAGAAAACAAAAGGUGGAUUUGUUUUGUAUUCAAGAGACAAAGAUGCAAGUAAUGUCUAAAAGGGUGGUGAGAAGCUUAGGCCCGGGGAGAUUUCUAGACUGGAGGGCCUUGAAUGCUAUGGGAUCGGCAGGGGGUGUCUUGAUAUGCUGGGAUAAAAGAUCGCUAGAGAUUUUGGAUUGGGAAGAGGGCCAAUUCUCCAUCUCCUGCAGAUUCAAGAAUAUGGGAGAUGGUGUGGUCUGGGUGUUUACGGGGGUCUAUGGCCCUUUCUCCAGAGAAGAAAGGGAGUGUCUGUGGGAGGAGAAUGGAGCAAUCAGAGAAUUGUGGGAGGAACGUUGGUGCUUAGGGGACAAUUUUAAUACGAUCCUUUACCAAUCUAAAAGGAGUAGAAAUGGGAGAAUCACCUCAGUUAUGAGGAGAUUUGCCCAAAUCAUAAAUGAUUUAGGGCUAGUUGAUAUCCCAUUACAAGGAGGAUCUUUUACCUGGAGUGGGGGGCUCAAUAAUCAGUCAUGGGCUAGGUUGGAUAGAUCCCUUGUGACCCCCAGUUGGUUUAACUAGUACAGUAGGGUCUCUCAAAGAAGACUACCUCACCCUACCUCAGAUCACUUUCUUGUUCUUCUUGAGGGGGGUGGGCUAAGAAAAUGUCCUUCCCCAUUCAGAUUUGAAAAUAUGUGGCUCAAAGUUGAGAGGUUCAAAGACCUAAUUGGGGGUUGGUGGCAAGGGAUUGUGGUUAGAGGCAGUCCUAGCUACAGAUUGGCUGUUAAGUUGAAGGAGUUGAAACAAAAUCUAAAAAUUUGGAACAGAGAGGUGCUCAGAAGUUUGGAGAGAAAUAAAGUUGAAGCUCUCCAACAAGUGGAGCUUUGGGAUUUAGUGGAAGGGGAGAGAAGCUUAACAGAGGAGGAAUUAAGCCGCAAAAAGAAAGCAAAGGAGGGUUAUGCUAAGUGGGUGUCGCUAGAAGAAACCCAUUGGAGGUAGUUAUCAAGGGAAUUAUGGCUAAGGGAAGGGGAUAGAAACACGGGGUAUUUUCACCGUAUGGCUAAUGACCAUAGAAGAGUUAAUUUCCUGAAUAAAAUAAAGAUAAAUGGGGUGAGGCUUUCAAAGGAACAAGAAGUGAGGGAAGGGAUUGCAAACGCCUAUCAGCAGUUGCUCUCUGAUAGUUUUGGUUGGAAGGCAGAUAUAGGGGGUCUGCUGCUAAAGCAGAUCAGUUAGUCAGAAGCAGAAGUCCUGGAGCUCCCGUUUUCUGAGCUUGAGAUUCAUGCAGCCUUAAUGAGGAUGAAUGGGGACAAAGCCCUAGGUCUGGACAGGUUCACGGUGGUUUUUUGGCAAAACUGCCGGGAGACUGUUAAGAAGGAAGUUUUGGAUAUGUUCAAGGAGUUCCAUGAGCAGAACUCCUUCAUUAAGAGCCUAAAUAAUACGUUUCUGGUUUUUUUACCGAAGAAAGGAGGGGCGGAGGACCCAGGCGACUAUAGGCCCAUCAGCUUGUUAGGGGGAUUGUACAAAUUGUUGGCUAAGGUGCUGGCCAACAGGCUUAAAAAAGUGAUAGGAAAGGUGGUGUCACCCAAUCAAAAUGCAUUUAUUAAGGGGAGACAGAUUCUUGACGCCUCCUUAAUCGCAAAUGAGGUAAUAGAUUCAUGGCAAAAAAUGGGAGAGAAAGACCUAAUUUGUAAAUUGGACAUAGAGAAGGCGUACAACAGCAUCAAUUGGCAAUUUUUUGUUGAAGGUUAUGCAAAAAAUGGGAUUUGGGCCAAAGUGGUUGGGAUGGAUGUGGAGUUGCAUAUCUAUUGCCAAAUUCUCAGUGUUGGUGAACGGUGUGCCAAUUGGAUUUUUCUCAAGUUCGAAAGGGUUGCAUCAAGGGGACCCUCUAUCCCCCUACUUGUUCGUCAUGGGAAUGGAAGUGCUAAGUGUGCUUAUCACGAGAGCUGUUGAAGGGGGUUUUAUCUCUGCGUGUAGCAUUUGGCGAGGUAGAGGGUAGGCUGUCAAUAUAUCUCAUUUACUUUUUGUGGAUGAUAUAGUAGUUUUUUGUGAGGCAAGGAAAGAGUAUUUAACGCAUUUGAGUUGGAUACUUUUUUGCUUUGAAGCGGCUUCAGGGUUAAAGAUUAAUUUGGACAAAAGUGAGGUUAUUCCAGUAGGGGAGGUGGAAGAGGUGAACAAGAUGGCUGUUGAAAUAGGGUGUAGGGUGGGACAGCUGUCUGUCGUCUACUUGGGGCUAACUUUAGGGACGCCUAAUAAAGCCACUUCCGUGUGGGAUGAGGUGAAGGAGAAGGUGAGAAGAAGACUUGCCCUUUAGAAACGCCAAUAUAUUUCCAAAAGUGGGAGAAUCACUCUUAUAAAGAGCACGUUGGCCAGCAUACCCUUGUAUCAAAUGUCUUUGUUCUGUAUGCCAAAAUCAGUGGCAAGGAGGCUUGAAAAGUUACAAAGAGACUUUUUGUGGGGAGGGGCCAAUGGGGAAAAAAAAGCACACUUAGUCAAGUGGGAGGUGGUGUGUGCGGAUAAAGAAAAGGGAGGGCUGGGAUUAAGGAAGCUUGCUUGUUUGAACAAAGCCUUGCUAGGCAAAUGGAUUUGGAGGUUUGCUCGUGUUAAGGAGGAUCUUUGGAAGAAGGUGCUUGAGGCAAAGUAUGGGCAAGAGGAAUUUGGAUGGAGGACAAGGAAGGCAAAUGGGGUGUUUGGAGUAGGGGUUUGGAAGGAGAUUUUGAAGAAAUCUGAUUGGUGUUGGGAAAAUAUGGUGUUCAAGGUGGGAAAAGGCAAUAAAAUCAUAUUUUGGACAGAUCCUUGGUGUGGGAAUAAUGUGUUAUCCCAAAGUUUCCCAAAUCUCUUUGCCAUGGCUGCCCAAAGGAAUGCCACGGUGGAGGAAAUGUGGGAUCAGAAUUUUGGCCAAGGCGGGUGGAAUUUAAGGUUUUUAAGGGCCUUAAUGACUGGGAGUUGGAUACGGUGGGCAACUUGCUGGUUGUGUUGAGGGAGCAUAGAGUUACGUUGGAGGAAGAUUCGGUGAUUUGGAAGGAAGGAAGAGACGGGCUGUUUAGAGUCAAGAGAGGGUACAGUUGGCAAGCCAUAUUGUCGCCGAGUUCCCGAAUAGCAAUAUAUGGGUGGAUAGAGUUCCAACCAAAAUUGCAUUUUUUGCAUGAGAAGCCGCUUGGAGGAAGGUUCUCACUCUUGAUAGGCUUCAAAGAAGAGGGUGGCAGUUCCCUAACUACUGUUUUUUGUGUGGUUGUGAAGAGGAAACGAUAAAUCAUAUUUUAAUUCAUUGUACAGUUGUCAGAGUUUUGUGGGAUAUCAUUCUUGGGUUGUUUGGUGUUCAGUGAGCCUUUCCAGAAUCUGUAAAGGAGGUUUUAUUUAGCUGGAAGGGCUCUUUUGUGGGAAAAAAGAGGAAAAAACUGUGGAAGUCCAUCCUGCUGUACAUUUUUUGGACAAUUUGGAAGGAAAGGAAUAGAUUAGCUUUUUAGGGGAGGGUGUUAGCAGUUCAGAAGUUAAAAACUUCGUUUGUGUGUAAUGUUUGGGGUUGGGCUAAAUUGUACAUUGGUGUGGAGUCGAUCUCCCUUAUAGGCUUCUUGGAGUGGUUAACCUCCACUUAGGGGUUGGGGUGUUUUGUUCUUUUUUGGUUGGGAGGCCUUAGUCGCCUCAUAUACUCCCUGUAUGUUUUGCGGCUAUUUUGCCUCUUGAUAAUAUAUUCUGUGCUUACUUAUAAAAAAAAAAUAAAGGAAAAAGUUAUAAGAUGAAAAUGUGCAUGUAAAGACCAUAGGAAUGUGAAGAAUAGAUAGGAGACACCUUGUAAAGCAAGAAGACAAAUGAUGUUUUGGGACUCAAGUUCAAGGUGUAGAUAGUAGGAAUAAGAAAAUAUGUGUGUGUUUUGAAAUUGAGUUUUGUAUUUUUUUUUUCUUUCCUAUUUAACAUUCUCUAUAGUAGAGUGGAUUUUAUCUCUCAUCUAUUGAUGUAAUCAUAGUUAGCCAAACCACAUUAAAGCCAUGUGUUUGUAAUGUGUGUGGAUUAUUUUAUCUUUAUGUUGUUGCACUAAUAUGAGGCAUUAAAGCUUCCACUAACACAAUUAGAGCUAUGGUGAAGAUUUCUAGAAUAGCUAAGGGGAAGAUCUAAGACUUGGGAUUUAGCUUUGCUAAUUUGAACAUAAAGAUGGUACAAUAAUAUCCAAAAUUCACAAUAGAAUGAAAAAUAAAGUCGGAAUUUGUUGUUUUCUUAUUGGCACGUGAUAAAUGGAGCAUAUACUCAUUGAAUUUAGAGUAAGUGUAGCCUUUUAUAUUCUUAUUUGAUUAUACAAGGUGGAAACAAUGAAUGUCUGAAGUGUUUGGAUCCAUGGAUAUCUAGUAAAAGGCAAACAAGGAGUGUUUAUGGCACAUAAGGGAUUUGUGACAUGGACUAAGAAUUCAGAAGAUUAAGUUCCAUGGACCUACAACUGGAGAUGAAGUAAUCUUGUUUGUUAUUUCUUUUCUCAAAAGUUAAGUUUGUAAUUCAUGUGGUUCAAACAAGUUUCUAAAUGGAGUGCAUUGAUUAAUUACUCAAUGACAACAUAUUGAAUGAGUCAAAGUAUGCUGCUCACUUUACAUUGAGCAUUUUGCAUAUCAAUGUAAUUAAGGCUUUGGGCUUUCGAAAUAGGAUCAAAGAAGUGCUUCAAAUCAUUGUGAAGAAUUUCUGAAUUCCUUUAUUGAUUUUUUAGGUACACACCAUACACAUAUAUAUACACAAAUGACUGAAUAAGAAAAUAUCAAUCUAGCUUGAUUCUCUUCUAAAAUUAGGAAACUGAAUCAUCCUAAAUGAUCUCUCCUUUUUUAUUCCUAAAAUACUUUCCUAAAUUAAAACCCUAACUUUGAAUGCCAAAUUUCAACACAUUGCUAUUUGACCUAGACCUGUUCUAAAAAGGUAAAGGCAUUUCAAAUUUUUAUUGACAUGGAACGAGUCAAGGGAAAAGACAUGUAUAGAAGAGACAAAUGUAGCCAUGUAUUAUGAAAAGAUGGAAAUUUUCUCAAAUUCCUAUUCUGUUGAGAAUUCCUUUUAGUGGAGGAUAUUGUAUAGAAUAUUUCUUAUUUUGAUAUUUCCUUAUGGAAAUAAGUGUGUUUAUUGGAUAAAGAAAACAAAUAUCUUUAUAAACAUUUUAAAUCAUUGAGGGAAAAAGUUAUGAGAUGGAAACUUGUAUAUAAAGAUUCUAUACUAGUAGGUAAAUAUGUAAAGAAGUGAUAAAAGAUACCCAAUGGAGUGGGAAAACAUGAGAUGUUUUGGGGCUUAAAUUUAGAGUAUAGAUGCUAGGAGUAGAAAACAUUAAAUUGUUUUGUGACUAAGGGUUUGUAUCUAUCCUCCCUUUCCUCUAUAAAGUUCUUUAUGACAAAGUGGAUUUAUUAUCUUUCAUCUAUAGAUAUAGGAAUGGUUAGCCAAACCAUUCUAAGACCUUGUGCCUCUAUUUGUGGAUAGUUUUGUUUUUAUGUCAUUGCAUCAAUUUGUUAAAGCUUUUGUUGACACAAGGAAUAAAAAAAGAGAAGGGACAAUUAUUACAAAGAAGGAUAAGCUGUUUUUUCAAGCCAGACAAGGAAAAGGACAAAAAAUAAAACAACUUCCUAAGUGAAAAUAAGACGCCCUAAAACCUACAGAAUCACCAAUAGAUGAUGAUAUACUUUAGGGGGAGGAGUCCCCUGCAAGUUCCUUUGAGGUGGCUCUUUUCUUAGCCUAGCAAUCCACUGCAUUUUUAUACCUAGGCUAUGAAUCAAAGAAGCACCCUGGACCUCUUGAAGGUUUGUAAUCUUGCAAAUCCAAGAAUCAAAAUUCUAAGGUCCUUUCCUAUCCUAAGACACCCAAGAUAGAAUGAUAGAUGAAUCCCACUCUACCUGAAGGUAUCUAACACCCAAGAAGGACACUUUGAUUAAAAUUUAAACCUACCAGUGAAGCAAGGAUAUCCAUAUCAAUGACCAAACCAAAACUAGCUGGAUUGGAGAAAGCUUUGACAUACUGUCCCAAUGAUCUCUAAAUGAGAUACAAAUCCUCAUCUGCCUUAGGUUACCUAGAGAGCAGCCUUCAAACUUGAGGGGGUGUCCAUAUGGUUGUGAACUGGACAUUGCUUGUGAUCUGACAUAAUCAUAGAACACCAAGGAAUUCUUUAGUAAUUCACACCCAAAGAGUUGUGAGGUGGCAGACUGUAAAUCUAAAAAUUGAUCCUAAGUAAACACAACUGGUAAUCACAUAGUUAAAUACAUAUUUAAUUGCUUCACUAGAGUUUAAAAUGUUUUGGUUUAGUCUUUGUGCAAACUUUAUGUAUGAUCAGUUGCUUUUGUGUGCAGGACAAUUUAAAAUUAAUGGAUGAUUUAGCUGCUUUGAGACCAACAAUAUUUUGUAGUGUUCCUCGAUUAUACAACAGGAUAUAUUCUGGGUGAGAUCAUGGCUGAUUACUGCUUAAAUUAUUUACUUGGUUGCAUUUUGCAUGGUCAUUCAUCUGUAUCUAAUUCUGUUGAAUGUCAUAGGAUCAUGAAUGCUGUACAAACUUCUGGGGUUCUAAGGAAGACGCUAUUUAAUGCUGCCUAUAAUUCCAAAAAGCAAGUCAUAAUAAGUGGUAUGUGCAUUGAUAUCUGAAGCCAUUUCAUAUUAUAGCAUAAAGCUGCUUAUUUUCUCCUUUGUCUUUUAUUUUAUUUUAUCAUUUUUUUGGUGAAAAGGUGACAAUGGGCUAAAAAGAAAGAGGGAGCCCUCCUUCAUAACUAUAAAAUCUCAACAUGAUGAAGGCAAGAUUCAAAUCUCAGUGAUGUAGGAUAAGAGGACUUCUCUGUUGAUCUUAACUUCAUUUCUUUCCACACAGUAAUAGGCUCUUGAUCUAAAUGGUUGAUGUCAUGUAAGACUGAUUGUCAAUAAUGCUUAGCAGACCGUACCAAUUUCAUCUUAGCAGAACCAACAUGUUGAGUGUUGGUCAUGCCGUGCAAUCAAAAUUGUCUUCAAGAUUGCUGACAAACUAAGAAACACAUCAGGAUCUAACCUACCAUCAAACUCUAGCGCCUCUACCUUGACCUCCUUGGUGAUAUCACCUACCUAAUUGUGGAUAUAAUCUAGAUUGGUCAUAAUGGUAUUGUGGAGGUAAAGUCAAAAUUGUUGACAAUGGUAUCUAACUUGAGGUUCCCAGUGCCUAAGGGUAUUCCUAGGACCUUAAUUGACAAAUUAUGACCAAGACUCUCUCCCAUCUUCAUUAAUAGGUAUUGGGGCACCAAAAGCUUCAUCCUCAUAAACAUCAUCAUAUCAUCCUCGUCUAGGGCUCUAAACUAGAUUUUUGUUUGUGGGUGGCUUUUCUUGUGGUUAGCAAACCUGCUUGGGAAUCCCUAAAUCUUCUUUGAUUUGGGGAUUGAUUAGAGUUUUGUCUCAUUGUAGACUCAUUUAUUGUUUUCUCCUCAUAACGCUUUCCAGGAUCUUUUAACAAAUGACUUAGGCCACAACAAGUUUGGUCAAAAUAUCUUCAUCUCUUCUAUAUUGACUUGUAAGGUUGUCACAAUAGUUGUGAGAUUUUGAACAUCCCCCUGAAUGGUCAAAUGGGAUUGUUCUAAUUCAGUGACCUUCAUGUUUGCUGAAAACAAAGGUGAGGAAAAAAAUGAGAACAAAGAAAAAUAAAGUAAUAUUGAAAUAUAUGUGAAUUAAAUUAAUAAUAAAUUAUGUCUAGACUGGAUGCACACAAUUGGAAUUAAACUCAAAUAGAGGACUAUGCAAUGACUCUCAAAAGGACACAAGAUACAAAAUAGGUAUGAAAUAACUAAGGGUAAAUAUUUUUUUUUUUUCUUUUAAGUAAGGUAAUAGGUAAAAAGAAGUAAGAAAAUAAAGGUAAGAAUCCUAACACGUUAUUUGUUAGACCAAAGAACUAAACUAAAAGCACAAGUUUCUAAGUAGUAGGAAAAUUACCCCAUGAGACUUAAUGGAGUAAUUGAACCCUUAGAUUGGUGCGAAGAUUCAAACAGCUAAAACAUAUCCAAAAUCAACCUUGGUUAUAGGUUAUUUAAUACUUGUAGUUUAGUUGUGAAAAUUCCCUGGUGCAAAACAUGUACAAACUAGACCUGAGCAAUUGUUUAUUGCCUAUGGUUUAAUGCCAAGAAUUCCAAAUUGUUGCAGUAUAGUUGUGAGUAUAACCAUCACAAAAGGCAUCCAAAAUCAACCUUGCCUUGAUACCAAUUGAUGUAAGACAGUAGAGAAGAAUUUUGAGCAGAGAAAUAGAAGUAGAAGAGAGAAAUUCCAAAUAAUUAUGAAUAUUAUAAAUCAAAAGUUUAAAAUGUUUAAGAUCACUGAGCCUAUAUAUAGAGAGACAAUCUUAACUCUAGGAGGAAACUAAUUUUAACAAUAACAUAAGAAAUUCUGACAACAAUAAAAUGUUAUCAAUAAAUAUUAUUAACCCUAAAGUAGAUAACAAAAUAAAACAUUAUGACUUCUUAUAUUUACACUUACAUAAAUGCAUAAGUGAACAUCUUUAUCUUCAUCACCCAGGUUUCUGGUACGAUCCCCUAGACUUUAUAUCAACAGCCUAGUUGUGUCCUCUUUUUUGCUAUGAUCAUAAUAUCCAAAAACACUGUAGGGUAUAUAAUUUAAGUGAAGGAUAUUGUAACCCCUGGACUCUUCCAAUCCCUCCGAGGAUUGCACCAUUAGUGUUGAUUUGUUAUGUUUUUCAUCAAGAAAUUCCUCCAAGAACUCAUAUUUAGGUCCCCAGUGUAGUGUUCUCAAGUGGCAAAACCAAGGUCAAGUAACCUGGCACCUACAAAGUCUUGGAUGGGAAAUCCGGAUAAUUCCCUCUAGAAGAGGUAAGGAUUCUUAAUUUCAGUAGUGGGCAGUGGCAGUAGGUAUGACCUACUAUGUGCAGUUUCUUUCUCCCAGACAGCUGUGAUGAAUUUAGGGUUCAAACAGAGUGCAUUGGGAAAUAAAGUUUUAAAUAGCUCUAGAACAUGGGUGGAAAGUAUUGGGUUUAUUUCUUAAUUUGUUGCUGUAAUUGCAAACUAAAUUCACAAAUAGAGAGAUGUAUAUAAUAUUUUUGUUUGGGAUAUUUGGGUCUUAUGGUCUCUAUAUUGGUGGCUUACAAAGUGUCGAUGAUAUUAAAUUUAUUAGAGGGAAUAUUUAUGGUGCUUGUCCCAAUUUUUUGAGAUCAACAAUAUGAUCCCUGUCCAGAAUUGUCAAUUUAUCAAAAUAAAUCUCUUUGAUUGGAGUAUGAGGUCUUAAAUUUUGAAAUAUCACAAUUUAAAGAUUGAAAGGGGAAUGCUCAUAAUAGGAGGGGAGUGGCAGCUUUAAGGCAAAAGGCAUUAUAUCUUCAUUGGAUGGGACUUUUGGCUGAAUUCAACACAAACUGGAUUCGGAAAAUUCAUACCAUCAAUUGAAUUUUAAGAAAGGAAUGCUUCAAGCUAAUUUGGAUACAUGGUGCCUUAUGCUUACGAUUUGUAUUUUUCCCCUUUCUACUCUCCUUGAAAUAUUCUGGAGGCCAGAGAUAUUCUUGUUAAUCUCUGUUAGUUGCUAUAUGUAAAGUCUGAGCAAAUCUUCCAACCAAUGUGCUGAUAUCUAUACAAAUAAUCAGAAUGUCCACACCAUAUAUAGAUAUACCAUGUGAUAAGCAUUUCUAAGCUGUCAUGCAUGUGUAGCAUGUGGUAUUGCUGCUUUUGCUACUAAUAUGUUACACCACUGUCUUAGGCCGAAACCCAUCACCCAUGUGGGACAGAUUGGUAUUCAGCAAAAUAAAGGGAAUGCUUGGAGGAAGAGUCCAUUUUAUGGGUUCAGGUGCUUCACCUUUGUCUCCUGAUGUCAUGGACUUUCUGAGAGUGUAAGUUGAUUAUUCUUCUGAGGAUAAUGCAUUAUUGCAUGGUUGCUUGUUUAAAAGUUGUGAUAAAUCCAUUAUUCCACAGUUACCUGUUUAAAAGUUAUUGUUAUUGUUUCUUGUUUUCUAGAAGGAAAAACAAAAUAUCAGUAGUGACUAAUUAUGUUUUAUUGUUCCAUAAUGAAUGUACCCAUACAGAUGCUUUGGUUGCCAAGUAAUUGAAGGCUAUGGAAUGACCGAGACCUCUUGUCUCAUAAGCUGUAUGGAUAAGGGUGACAACUUAUCUGGUCAUGUUGGAUCUCCUAAUCCUGCUUGUGGUGAGCUGUCAACCUAUGUCUUAAGAAUAUAAAAAAAGGAACAAAAUAUAGUGCAUAGUCCAUGAGAAACAACAUGAUGUUCCUUGAGGGGCAUAUGGAUACUGCAUAUAUGCAUAUGAAAUGGUCCAUUUUCUAUUUUUCAUGGCAUCUAUGUUAAUUUGUUAUUCAAGUGGAAUAAUCACCAUUAUUCUAACAAGAACAAUGGGAUUAUGAUUUCAUAGAAACCUAAAUAAACUUACUGUUAAAUGAGGUUGACGAAAAAGCAGACUGUGGUUGGAGAAAAAGCAAAGAGACUCAAUUGCAAACCAACGGAUUCAAUAGGUUUACUUCAAAUGCUAUAGGGGAAAAAAUGUAAAGAUUGCAAUUUCAAACAGCAUCCAAACCCCCACUUUAAAUUGGGAUGUAAUUUGAAUCUAAUUGCCGGAUGUCUUUAAGAAAAUGGUAUUCACAACUAAUGAACUAAUUCACUGAGUUGUGUGGAUUCUGGUUGCUCCCUGCCCUUUUCCUCUUUCAGAAAUAAAGCUUGUGGAUGUUCCUGAAAUGAAUUACACCUCUGAGGAUCAGCCCUAUCCUCGCGGUGAAAUAUGUGUCAGGGGUCCCGUUCUCUUCCAAGGCUACUACAAAGAUGAAGUCCAGACGUACUCAACUUUCUUAUAUUUCUAUUUCUUGUAUUGCUUAUCAAAUACACAUAUUUCUUGCAAUUGUCACUCAUGUGUAAAUAAUGGAUCUACCUGACUCCAGUUACUUUGACAGGAAGGAAGUAAUUGAUGGAGAUGGUUGGCUGCAUACAGGAGACAUUGGGUUAUGGUUGCCUGGAGGUCGCCUUAAGAUUAUUGAUAGGUGAGAUUUUACAAUCUAUCACAUUUAAAGGACUUGAUACCAAUACUGCUUGUUUUAGAUGAGAAAUUUAACUACAUAGUUUCUAGUUCUUACCUAUCUAAAUUAUGUUUUCCCUCAGAGCAACUUCAACAUGAAAGACUCAGAGUUUUCUAAACCUAUUUCUGGGUAUGGUUUGGUUUGUGAAACAUAAAACACUGAUCAAAUUAAUGACACUGAUAUUUUUUUUGAGUUGGUAAUAGUGUGUAAAGUAUCAUAUUAAUGUAUUACUGUUGAAGUAUUAUUGUGGUGCAAUCAAAUAACCACACAAUUGCUUACAAAAGAAACUUUGUGAAGAGCAGGAACAUGCCAACUUUAAGUUAUGAAAUUUUAGUCUCUUAGCGAAAAUUGAUGGCCAACUUAUGACAGGAAAAAGAACAUCUUCAAGCUGGCACAGGGUGAAUAUAUAGCACCAGAGAAAAUUGAGAAUGUAUAUGCCAAGUGCAAAUUUGUUUCCCAAUGUUUUAUCUAUGGUAAGGCAGAUGGAGUUUACUUGCAGAUUGGGCCCUCCCCAGCUAAGUUCUCUUUGCUGACUGCUUAAUUGAUUUUAGGUGAUAGCUUGAACUCCUGUUUAGUAGCCAUAGUCUCAGUUGACCCAGAUGUGUUGAAAGAUUGGGCCACAUCUGAAGCCAUCAAGGUGAUUUCUUUCUUAUACUACACCCUUUUGAAAAUGCUUGCACUUUGAGAUUGAUCUCUUGCUCCAGGAAUUCUUCUUGAUAUUGUUUGAGCCUUGAUGUUGCACCAAAGUUGUAGGUGGCUGCUUUCUCUAUUAACAAAAUGAUGCACUGAAAUGUGGUUGUCAUUUUAUUGCUUACUGGGGUCUCCUCUGUACCACACAUAUUUCUCUCACUUGGAUUUUCCUGCAUUUUCAAAUACCCUUGUUCUUGUCGGCCCAAAACCUGUAGUUGGUUUGUGGCAAUAUUGAAAGGAAUUUUCAUUGUUUAAAGCACCCAUCAACUGACAACUCAUUCUUAUGGGGGAAGAAACAUUGGAUUACAAAUCCUACAAUGUCCAAGGUGUUUCAUUCUCUGUAUUAUGUGUCAUGGAGAAACUGAAUGCAGUUUUGUCUGUGUGAGAUGACAGACAAUAAAUUUUUUUUACUUCUUUGUGUCCUUGUGUUUGGGAAAGAUUUUCUAAUGUUUUGUGAUUGUUUUGAAAUGCAUUUCUGCAGUAUGAAAAUCUAGGCCAUCUAUGCAAUGAUCCAAGAGCAAGGGCAGCUGUUCUCACAGAAAUGGAUGCAAUAGGAAGGGAAGCUUAGGUAAUAUGUUGAAAUGUUUCCACUCUCUAGCCCUUCUACUCAGUCAGGAUAUUUAAUUUGCCCUAGCCCUUCUACCAUUGCCAUGCAGUUGAGAGGUUUUGAAUUUGCAAAAUCUGUAACUUUGGUGGUUGAACCAUUCACCAUGGAGAAUGACCUCCUGACCCCAACAUUCAAGGCAAGCUUCAUCAUUCUUCAAAUGGUUUUUUCCUUUCUUCCAUUUUCUUGGCAGUGAAAUAGAGUAUCAGGUGAAAAUAAAAAGUGUUUUGAGCUUUGCCUACAUAUUUUUCCAGAUCAAGAGGCCCCAGGCAAAGGCUUACUUCUCUGCUGCAAUAUCAAACAUGUAUGCAGAAAUUUCUACAUCCGACACAAAUCCACAGAAAAUGUUAUGAUGAUCUUGAUUCAGGAAGGGGGAAAGAAAGCCGAGCACAUGCAAGGUAACCUCUAAUGGUGAUUCCACUUCCUUACGGUAAGGCUCCAUUUGUUUGAUCAGAAGAGCAACUUUUAAUAGCUUUUGACAUUGUAGAAUGUCGAUCUUCAUCCAACUUUCCAUUGAAUAGUUAGAAGGCUGAAAAUAUCAGAUUGAAACUGGUUACCCUUUUUAUGCCAAAUCCUUCACCAAAGAGAUUUCAUUAAUAAAAAGUACGGAAACUGAGUUGGGUCUUACCGAAAUGAAAUGAAAAGAACACCUGAGACAUAAUUAGAAUCACACAUGCUUUCAAUUUUUCAGCACAAGGAUCAAAUACAACAAUCUCUACCAAAUUUGUUUUCUAAGCCUAAAACUUCGUAAUGACUCGUACUCUUCUUUAUGUGGAGCAUUAACUCAACAGUUCUGACCCAGUGCAGGGAUUUCUAGGUAGGCAAGAACUGAAGGGGGCCGACUCUAGCUACCCAGAAGAACCCAUUUCAAUAAGACCAGCUCCACAAACAGAAGAUGAAGUUGAAUCUGUCUCUCUCCUCCACCAUCCAACAUAUUUGACAAGUCUGUAAAAAGAAUUCCUACUAGUGGAGAAUGGAAAAGCUAGAAGAAGGAUUUCUCCAGUUUCCAAAACAAAUAAUUAUGAAUAUUGGAAUAAUUUUAACCUACCCCCCAUGGUUUCUCAUACAAUUUUCAUAUCACAUAAUUCCUGCAAUGGAGUGUUCUGCAGAGACUUGAUUGCCAUAGCCUAGUGUUCAUUCAAUGGCUCUUCAUGAUCCAUACCAGCAGUUUGAUAUGACGGAAACAAAACAACAAGCUUUUCUAUUCAAUGUGGUUGCAUGGCACCUUCAUGAAUCAUAAGCUUAAAAAACUUAAAUUUUCAUAUUUAACUUCAUGAAUCAACUUUAUAAAUAAUAUUAUCUCAUCCAUUAUAAUACAUUAAGCUGUCUAUUGACUUACCCCAAAGAAGAUAACAGUGCAGAAUUAUAACACAUCAAUCUCGAGCAGUAAUUGUUACCAAAAAGAUUCAAUAACUUCAAAUGGGGGCGUGAAAAGAAUAUGAACAAUAUUCGUACUUCUACGAACCAAAAAAAUAGUGGGGCUUCAAAAUUACAACUUUGACCAGAUGCUAUGACUGGUGACAUACCACAGCCGUACAAGAAGAGUCAGUAUCUAUGAUCCACAGACCCAAUUCUUCAAGCCGUUUCUGAAUCAUAUCUGAGCCUAUUUCUGGGGACCAGAAAACCAUCUUUUUUCUAUUCCCCUGAGAGGUCUGAUUAGCAUUUCUGGAAUCAAUCUCUAAACCCAGGCUUCCCUCAUCGACCCAUUUAACCCUCAUGCCCUCCUGUUUGAACAACUCUCCCACUAUAUACACAAAUUUUUUACCUUCUGUUGUUGGUAUUCGACCUCUUCCCUUUUCCAGCACAGAAUCCACCAUUAGUGCCACUUUGUGAAUAAAAUCAUCGACCCAGAUCUUCCGGGCAGAAGAUGAGCUCCGGAUAAAUAAAAUUUCCGGGGUCUUCCCAGCAUGGAAGUCAUAGGUAGCAUCAAUGACAUCAAGAAAUGGGGUACUUCUGAGAAAAAGCAUGUUCCCAUCAACCACCCAAGAAUUGUACCCAGACUCCAGACACUUCUGGAUUACGUAGGCCUUUACUAAGAUAUACUUCUUGACCUCCAUAUCAGAAUCUUGGAGACUCUUCAUUUUAUGAGCUCUGACACUGCUGAGAAAUUGGUCCACAUCAAUCACAGGAUGACCCCUUCUAGCAAGAUCAAGAAGGAAGUCCGAAUUCAGGCCCAUAAAAAUGUAGUUCUGAAUAUUGAAACUCUCAAAGUGGCACAGCAAAUUCCUUAUGACUCUUUCAGAUGCUCCAAACAGGCUCACAAGUAUAAUGGUAUCCUGUUUUUGCACAGAGUGAAGAACAGAUCCGAGUUCUUCAAAACUCCUUACAACUGUUCCAGGAUGUACUUCUUUGAAACAGAAAUCAUACCACUUUAGCUUAGUCAGAGGUUGCAUCUCCAGAAGAUCAAUAUCAAGUGAACUUUCAUCGAGUAAAUAUGAAUCUGGACCAGCUGUUUUCCCAUAGUUGACACCAGCAUCUCUAUGAGAGACACUGAGUGCUCUUUCAUGUAGAAAGUUUGUGUAAAUGUUAAAAUAGCCACGAGAAUGAAUAAAACUAAUAAACCAAGGAGUCCAAAUUCUCUCACCCAUCUUCUUGUACCAUCCUGUUGUUACCUGUAUAUAAAUUUCAGUUCUUAUCAGAAAAUUGUGAUUCAAAUUGAUAAAUAUGCUUGGAUUUUUUUAUCUUCACUUCAAGAAAAAAUAAAAAUUAACUAAAUAAGAAUACAAUGAGAAAGACAAAAAAUUACCAUCCCCUGCAGAAAUGGCUUGAUGCCCUUGGCCUUGUGUAUAUCAUACCAUAAACGGAACUCUUUCCAAGGUUUUGGAAAGAGAAGCUGACCCCAAGUGCCAACCAGCUGGUACAAGAAAAUAUGUGUUUCAUCAUCCAAUUGAAUUUUGUUUCCGUGCUUACCUGUAGUCAGAAACCAUUUUAAUCAAUUACAGGCAACAGGAAAAAGAAAAAAAAAAAAAAAAAAAGCUUUAAUAGCAAAAAUCAGACAUACAAAGUGUAAGGCUGGUAGGAAAAAUGAUUUCCUGCGAAUAGAGUAGGAAAGGGAAGCAUACAAAGAUAAGAAUUUGUUUCAUCAAAAAAUGAAAUCCAGCUGGCACAUUUUUACAUGAAAUAGAAACGGGGAAAAGAAAGACAAUCAAUGAGGCCAAGGAUCAAAUGAACAAUGAAAGCAUACCGUACAGAGCAUUGCUACCAGCAAGAGCUGAUCCAACUAUGCCUUGAUAUAAUCAUAACAGCAAUGGUAUAUUUGAUAUAAUUGCAUUCCCUCCUCAACAAGAAUUUGACACAAUCAUAUAGUAAGAUGGAGAAACUCUAUGGUUUUAAAAAGAAAAAAAAAAAAAGAAUUAUCUACUGGACUCAUAAUAUCAUAAAUGUUUCCAAUGAUUCUGGCCAACAUGCAUGUACAUGAAUACCCUGCCCUGCACUUCAAUGGUUUGGGAAAAUCAAGAAUGCAAUUGAUGUUUACUCCUUCCUACUCUGGGACCUCCCUUUCCAGGAACAAGUUCUGUUUGGCCAAGAAACAAUAUUUUGAUUUGUUUGAAAUACUUUUUAUUAUAUAAAAUUAUUAGUUGGAUUUUCCAUUCGAUACAGCCUCACAUUAGUCAUCACAUAAUUGACAGAUAACAAGACUGUUCUUGCAGCACAGACCUAGUCAAUCCAAAGGUUGUAACCUCAAACUGGGCUUCCAGGGCGGUUUUUGCUAUUGUUUCUUUCCUUUUUUUCUUUUUUAAUAAAUAGGCAAACAGGAGAUAUAUUAAGCAGCACCUAACAAAAAAGGGUGCAUCCUAUGUACACAGGUGGUGUACAUUAGGCACCAAAAUAAGAAAGAAAAAGCAAAAAUUUUCUAUUAGGCUUCCUGGGUUCUGCUCUGUUCAGGAGAUUGUUUUGAAGAAUUAAGGCCAACUGGCCCUUCUUAUGUGGAACCUCUGCACAAUUCUGUGUUCCAAGAGGCCUGCGAGAUUACAUCAUAGCCUUCUUCUUCCUGUUCUUCUUCCACUUUUUUUAUUUUGAUAACCGAGGAUCCUUCCAUGGCCAAGCCCUUAGGACUUUCUAUGGGGACCCAAACCUCGGGGUGCUAACCUCCCCGCAACAACCAGCACAAAAUAAAUUCAGGAUAUCAUCAAUGGCAGGAUUCAACCUAAAGACUAUAUGUCACUUACUAGAACCACACUAUCCAGUGUUCACCCAAACCAAUUGAGCUAACUUGGUGGGUCUGUUCUUCUACCGCUUACUUUAGAGAUCAUUGAGUUUCCCUCCACUAUCCUAGCUCAGUUAAGCAAUAGUGAGCUUCCCUCUACUUUCCUAGCUCAUAUUGAGAUUGUGAGCUUCUCUCUGUAUUUUCUUUAACCACCAUUGUAGCUCAAAUUAGAGAUCAUGAGCUCUUCUAGAAGCAACUAUUUGUGGUUCAGGAUGCAUGGAAAACUAAAUUGCUCCUCUCUCACCUCCUCAGCAUCCUUACUUCCAUCUGAUUUUUCCUCCCUUCACCAUAAUUAACAGAGUUUCUUUUAUAAUUUCACGUUAUUGACUACCCCUACCACAUGAAUUUUUCCCAGACCAAAAGGCUGUUACUAAAGACUAUUGACAUAAGAGCCCUAACCCAGAGACUGCUUGAUCUAUGAAAUUCCUUUCCCCCAUUUACAGCUGAAAACGUUCACUAUUCCAGAUCAAAAUGUUGAUUUCCUUUCCUUUUCUUUAAUCUUAAAAUUAUCUAGGAUCUAACAAGCUACACAGCAAAUCAUCAAUGAAUUCAAUUCCACCCAAUGAAGAACAAAACUCACAAACAAAUGCUUGAAUUUCCAGGCAUCCAAAAAAAAUUGAAAUAUUCCGUUCGUUUUUCCUCAAUUUUCUACAUAAAAUGGUACCUGGAACAAACCUUGGUCGUUGCAGCGAAGCCCCAUAAAUCGAAGGACUGAAAUUGGAGGAAUUGUAGUAAUAAUUCUGAAUCAAAGCCUUCAAAAACUUGUAAUAAAGAGGCGAGACCUCCAAAUCAUCCUCCACAACGAAGGCAAACUCGUGAUCGGAGCUGGGCCACCACGCCUCCAACCAUUGCGCCUGCAACCCCACAUUCCCAGUCCGGUAAUGCACCACCUUCUGCCCAAAUUUCCAAUCGAACCCGUCAAUGAACUCCAGAAUCCGGCGCGAUUCGUCCAACUUCUGAUCCAACAACAGCUCAGACUUGCCGACAUUGUCCGCGUGAGGAAAAUGGUCAACAUAGAUGUGGAGGUGGACGGUGUCGCGGCCGUAGUGGGCGGCGGCAAGAGAGCGGAGGCAACGGGAAAGGGAGGAGAGGCGGUCGAAGGUGAGAACUUUGAGAAUGAAAGAGAAAUUAGAGGGACUGGGAAUUGAGUUUAGCGAUGGAUUGAGAUUUGAGGGAAGAUUGAGGUGAGGAUUAGGGUUUAAGGAGUGGGAAGAGAGGUAGAGGUGGAGAGAGGAGUGGUAAUGAGAGUAGAGGAAGAAAGCUGAGAGAGAAAGGAGGAGAAGGAGAGGAAGAAACUGUCUCUUGGGUGCCAUUUUGUUUCUUCAGAUUUCAGAAUUAGGGUUAGGGAUUGAUACAGACGGCGCAGAGAAUGGAUCACAGUGACACAGUCACUUCUCUGCUUUGUGCUCCUCACUCUUCUCCACUCUGAGUUGUAGGCAUUACCAGGAAGGAGGCUUUAGGAUUAUUUCUUUAGACUCCCUUUGGCAGGCAUUUUAGCAAUCUCUUCAACCUAAAAAAUGCUUUUAAAAAAUUAUGGGGGCUAUUUGCUAAAAUUUUAAAAACACUUUUUAAAUUUUUAAAAUUCAAUUAUAAUAUUUGAAAUUAAUCGCAAUAUUUUCUUUGGAGAAAUACUCUAUUAAUAAUUUUUUUAAAAAUAUUUUAUGAAAAUAUACUUUUACUCCAAACACUUCAAAUGGAAGUACUUCCAAACACACUUAUUUCUUUUUAAAACCUACGAACAAAUGUAAAACACUUAAAAUGGUUAAAGAUAUUUAUGUUAAGAUACGACUUCUCUUUGAGUAAAAACAUAAAAAAAUAUUAAAUUUAAUAAAUUUAAAAAUAAUUUCAUCCCUUUAAUUAAAAAUAAUUUCAUCCCCUUUAAUCAAUCAAUUAAUUCUAAUUCUUUUCCAUAUUAUAUACUGCAACCAUGUUCUAUUAUCAUUCUCAAAAUGAUCCUCUAAGACCCCAUUUGGAUGUGACUUCCAAGAAAUUAAAAAGUUACUUUUCUAAGUUCAAUAAGAACUUUCAUGCCAAACAAAACCUAUGGCUUAAAAAAUAUAGUUUAAUUUGAAAACCACAAUAACAUUACUUCUUGUAAAAACCCAUUUUGACUUGUAUAAAAUAGUGACUUUGACUUGUGUCUCAGCUUCCAAUUAAAACCAAAAACAUGAAACCAUCCCAAACAAGGCCUUAACUCCAACAUUCAAGAGAAGCUUCAUCUUUCUUCAAAAGCAUUAACUCAACAGCUCUGACCCUUCCUUUCAGGGGAAGUAUUCCCAGUCCUGGGAUUUCUAGGUGGGUAAAGUACCCAGAAGAACCCAUUUCAAGAACCCAUAAACACAAGAUGAAGUUAAACCCACCUCUCUCUCUCUCUCUCUCUCUCUCCACCACAUCUAACAUAUUUUGCAAGACUGUUAAAAAAAAACCCUACUAGUGGAUAAUGAAAAAGCUAGAAGAAGGAUUCCUCUAGUUUCCAAUACAAGUAAUUAUUAAUAUUGGAAUAAUUUUACCUACCCCCACCGUGGUUUUUCAUACAAAUUUCAGAUCAGAUAAUUCCUGCAAUGCAAUGGUCUGUACAGACUUGAUUGCCAUAGCCUAUUAUUGUUCAUUCCUUCCUUCAACAUUAUCUAUACCAACAAUGGCAGAAACCCACCAUGAGUUUGCAGAAGUUCAAGAAAGGGAUGAAGACCAGAUUCGAUUACUGUUUGGCAAGUGGCCGUGUGUUAUCCCAAAGCCAUUGACGUGCAGAACCAUCCAGUAACGGCGAUACCUAUGACACAAAUAAGGGAUUUUGCACUGUGAGGAAGAGAUCAUAUUUUCUGAAGACCCAUAGAAAACCCAUCUAUAAAAGUUUAUGUAGUGUUUUGAGAAUUCCUUUCUGAUAAAAUCAGAGGAGGUAAUAAUACCCUACAGCAUGAAUACUGGCUGAAAACUUGAUGGCCACUUACCUUCUCCCAGACUUCUGAAUGGUAAUCGUUGAGCCAAUCAAUCUCGGCAGUGGAGAGUAGAGAUAACUCAACCAAUUCAUUCUGCAUGACAGAACCAUAAAAUGUUAUUCGGAUUCAUAGAGCAUAAGCACCCAAUAUGUUUGAGAAAUGAUCUUAAAAUGAACUGGGAAUUGGUCCUAGUACAAAUCUGCAGGCCUGCAAAGCUCUUUGAUUCUCAACCAGACCAAAAUUUACAAGGUGUUUACUAGCAAAUCAAUGUUUUACCAGUUUUCUUGUAAGGACAUUGAUCAUACCUGAAUUGGAACAAAUGUGAGCUUUUCAAAUCCCAAAUAUCCGAUACCUCCAAAACGAUUUGGGGUGUCCAUCUCUUUAACACAAAGGAGAUUCUGCAUUACAAGGAAAACUUAGAUCACAGAAUUAUAACAGAAUGCAAAAAAAUCAAGGUAAAGAACACCAAUUACCAGGAUGGAAAAUAGAAGCAACAACUGAAGAGAAAUUAAUUUGCAUACCUCGAUCCGAAUACCAAAGGCAUGGUCUUCAUAAUAGCCAGGUUCAUUGCUAACAAUCAUGCCUUUCUGUAAAGGAGUCAUAUUUCCAAAUCGAAAGCUAAUACUUUGAGGGCCUUCAUGAACAUUCAAUGCAGCUCCUACACCAUGCCCAGUCCCUACCACACAAGAUUAAAACAGAAACAAUAAAUAAGCACAAAUUUCAAUUGAAUACAAACUACUGACAGGGAAAAAUAUUUCAACUGCACAAGUAAACUGAAAUGAGAAGUACCAUGCCGGUAAUCAAGUCCAAUCUUCCACAGAAAGGACCGGGCAAAUGCAUCCAAUACAAAACCAGGAGUAUUUUCAGGGAAUACUGCCUGAUCAAGAGCUAUAUGACCCUGCAAUUGACACCAUCAGAAACCAUCGAACUAACUAAAUUCUUAAACGCCAAAAUUGUUCACAGAACACUGUCAUAUAGUGACUUCAAAUGACAUAGCAGCACAAAUAGGAUGAUCAUAUACUGUGACUGAACCAUUAAAAAGGUCCCACUUAUGGAUCACUGCUGGCUUGGAGUAAUCUCGAAAUGAAAAAGCACUAAUAGUAUAUUCAAUCCAUGACAUGAUGCUAGAAUAUCACAAAGCCAUAAGAUACCUGACAGCCAUUUGUCUGAAUUGUCCAGUGAUCGGUCUUUUUUUUUGGUCAAAAGAAAUUAACCAAAAAAAAAAUACAAUUUUAAAACUAAUAAACUAUUCUAUAUACAAACUAGUGGGACAACAAGAGUGAUUUCCUGUAAAGUAUUAAAGAAAUAACAUAAUUUUAAAUACAUGAACAUGCAUAUAAGCACAUCUCCCACAUGCACAUGGAGGGCUUAAUAGCUUGAAAUUUGUUAGCCAACAAUUCAACAUCAUCCAUUUUCUUUUGCAUACUUUUUUUUAUUUAAGAAAUGUACCAUGAGCAACCGUAAGACUUCAUCUUUUAUUAAAUAGUAUGUGUCCAUAUUAUACAUUUAAGAAAGUUUUAGAAGAUGCAGCACCUGUAAAACUCGGGUGAAGCAUUCUUUUUGCCGUGGAGUAGGUUCGCCAAAAUGCACUGUCCUGGUUAUAUCGGUUGUUCCAUCAAUAUAUUGAGCUCCACUGUCUAAUAGGAACAUUUUCUUCACAUCCACAAUGCUACAACUAUCUGGAUUUGGUUUGUAAUGUAUGAUGGCACCAUUUGCACCCGAAGCUGCAAAAAUCAUUCUAUCCAUGACCGGUGAAGUUGAAAGGAAGAACCAGUACAACAUUUAUCAAAUUAGAGUCCAAAAUAUGGUGAUUAAGCAUCAUCAUUUAUGAAUUCUUAAUGCAGAUUCUGUAGUGGAAAAGAUUUCUCUAUUAAAAGUUGUAGCCAACAUGCUUUUGCAUGACUGCAAGAGAUAUAUCAUAGAAUCAUAGCAUUAUCUUCUACAUCAAAGGUAAGAACAAUGGAUUUAUGCCAAUAUCCAAUCACAUUUUCUGCAAGGAGUGAAAGCAUAAUUGGGAUACUGAUCUUUGUUUGGUAAACUCAAAGAAGAUUUUGUACAUAGGGUCUAACCCAAUCUAAUCCACUAAUUGCAUGAAAUAUAAAUUUCCUUGUUCACUAGGGUGUGAAUUACCACAUUUCCCAAACCAUGCCUUAAAAUUAUGAUGGAAUUUCAACCAAGAUUUGAAUUUAAACUUUUUGUUUGGGAAGUACAAAUUCAUCAAUGCAAUCUAACCCAAUAUUACAAGGGCAAGUACAUUUUAGAACAAUAAUUCCAAGAAAGGAUGAACAAUCUUUUUGGUUCAUCACUGAAAAGGAGAAAGGAAUGGAAAAUGAAAUAAGGGAAAAAAGGAACAAGAACAAUAUUCUUUUUAAAAUGACUUAUUUUUGUUUUGUAAAGCUCUUGUAACAUGAGUAAGAAUAUUGUAAACAUCUUGCCAAGUAAAAUUUUCCCUUAAAUCAAACCUGUUGCAUGAGGACAAUUUGGGUGGCCCCCGUAUUUCACUUUUUGCUCUUCUAACUCAUAGACCAACCAAAAGAACUAAGAAAAUAUCAAAAAUUUUGUCCCCUCCCUUCCCCUCCCCUUAUUAAAGGGAACACAAAAGAGAACAGCCAAAUGUCUCAAAAAUGAAAUCAUAUCCUAAGCCAGUAUGCCAUGAUGCAGGGAUCAGGCAUUUCCAUGACAGGACCAACGAGGCAAUAGCUGAAGAAAGGUUUGAUAUAGCAUCCCUCAUAUAGAUCAUACAUUUUGCAAGUUCUAUUGACACAUUUCCAUAAAUCAAAUUCUAAAAUCCAACUCUUGAAAGAUGAAAAUAACAAUAAUAUGUAUGCAUCUAUAUGUAGAGUAAGAUAUUCUAUUUCCAGUAGAAAGCUUUGAUUUGUUAUCGUUCGUUUGGAAACUUGGUUGAAAGUUACAAGAUCCUUUACCAAUGAUGAAGAAUCUCUGAUAUUGAAAUUGGAUUCUUCAAUGAGGAGAAAAAAUAUAAUGAAUAUAGAAGUUAGCGUACCACUUAUAGUAUCAAAGCUUGUAUCCAAGAAACCAGCCUGCAUAGAACGGAAUUGAAGAAGUUUAUCUGCAACAUCUACCUCUGUCAAUAGCACACCCUUAAGGAUUUCUUCUUCCAGCCAGGACCAAAACUGUGCAAGAGCAGCUGCAUCCCUGAAGAGAAGACAUCACACGACGUGUACUUCCUGAGUUUUUUUUUUUUUGUUAUAUAUAUAUAUAUAGGUAAAAAGGCAAAAUAUAUUAAAAAGCACAUGGAAAAGGCGCAUCAAGUGCACAUGGAGUAUACAAAACGGCUGAGAGGUAAGAGAAGGAAAAACAUACAAACACUACCCAAUACAAAGGCAUGGCCUGAAGACAAGAAAAACAAAUGGCACCCAAGCGACCAACCAACAUGCAGCCAAAACAUAACUGCUAACACCAGGGGAAAAUAGAGUUAGUCUUGACCCAUCCUUCGAACCACUUUUCCCAACUCUAGCUUGAACCCUCGGAAACCACUUUCCGGCUCUUUCUCUCUUUGCCACUUCACUGGGAGUAGUUAAUCAAACUCUCCAACUUCUAAAGCUCCCUAUCAAAACGAGAUGUAGACAAGGGUCCCCCUUAGUACCUAAAGCCCACCCCUCUGCACCCCCCCCCCCCUGUGUAAGACCAUUUUUCUGCCUUCUAACUUCAUCAAAAGAGAGGCAAAUUCCUUCUCAAACCCAUCCACAGGCAAACCCAAAUACUCACUGAAGGAGACAAAAUUCAUGAGUGAAGAAAGAUUUCCAGCUCCCAUCAAGUCCUUGCUAGGGCUUUCCUUUCCCUAAACAGGGAUUUAAUGGAAGGCUCCUGAAAGGCUGAUGAGAUUUUGACCUGUCUAAUGGCCAAUGAGUAUCUAAAAAUCUCCUUAGAAACUCUGAUAGGAAAAAGGAUCUCCUUACAUAAUGCAUCCCAAGGAGAUUACACAAAGAGGACCAGAGAAUUAAGAAUAAACCAGAAAACAUUUUCUGUGAUAAAAAAGUCCACUGGAAUAAAAGCUACAAUGAAAAGCAAUAAGCUUAACUCUAUAGUAGCUCAUGCAGUAUUGACGAUAACUACUAACAAAAUAAUUCAUAUCUGCAAGAAAAAAAUUUCAUUGAUGUUCUGCUCCAAAGGACUAAUUGAGAAAAACAAUAAAUUGAACCAGUAAAUUAAUCCUUACUAAAUGCAUACAUCCUUGAUAGUUUCCAUAUUUAUUAUCCAAAACUACCAUAUCAACUCCAUUUUUAAAACUUAAAUUUUAAGGUACAGUAUAACCAACAUACUGUUUAAACAAAAACAUGAAUUAUGCCAUUAAGCAACAAUAAAUCAAUCCUUUCUGAUUUGCCAUAAAGGGGAUUACAAAAUAAAGCCUAGCUUAUUUAAAUAUUCGAUAUCCAGAACUACCAACAACUAUACUUUUUAAACUUUAAUUUAAGGGGCAUUAUCGUUUACAGUCUGACACUCAUUCCUGAGCUUAGAAACUUAAUAGCUAGAAGUUGAUAGCAUAAAUAAGUUUCCAAAUAGCCGGAGAAAUUCAACACAAAGAAAUCAUGUUCUGGGGGAAUAUUUGAUUCACCUUAGAUGAGAAUUGCGCAUCCCUUCCAAUUCAGCCUGAUUUUUCACAGCCUUCGCCAGCAAAAUAGGUGAAAUCUUAUAAACUCCAGUGGGCACCCCAGAUUGACCAUUGGCGACUCCAUAGGCCUCAGACUUAUUUUUCCUCUUAUUAUCAAGGCUCCCAGAAUACUGGUCACAAGCAGCCUCGUAGGUGUUGACAAUAGCAGCAUUAACAGAGGACGUAUCCAACCAGAGGUGUGCCCCUUUCGCUGCCAAACUGAAGAAGCAAAUCAUGUUUUAGUUAAUGAAAGUAUGAAAUCUGUCCAACCCACUAUAUGUUAGAUAUCAGGCCACUCUGAAAAAAAUAACCCAAUGAUGGCAAAUCCUUGGUGUUAUACACAAGACACAAAUGCAAUUAGCAUCUUUCAUGCACAAAUAUACUUGUUGCUAGUUUUAUUCACAGCCACUAAGUUGCAGUCCAACACCUUGUAUCAGCCUCAGAAAUUUUACACCAAUGGUAGUGUCCUAGCCACAGUUACAAACCUCUAGAGCACAUCCAAAGUUAGAGUCCGGUGAGACUCUGAGGUAUCCACUAUAUAUGGAAAAUAAGCUACUUUCAUAGGUACCGAAGUAGAAUAAUCACUUGAGCGUAACAAUAUGCAAGUGUUCAUCAACACUGCACAAAUUUUGACACUGACAAAAAGUUUUCAGCUCCCAAACUUACUUCUUUAUUUCAGCUAGAAUGGAUUCAUAUGGUCUCAACUCUAUGCCUGCAUUCUUCAAGUGAUCCAUCACUUCUGGGCUGACUUUAGAAUCAUCAAUAAAUAAUUUUGCCCCAUCAAUCUCCACAAUUAAGUAUGCAUACAUAACAGGUGAGUUUGGAACAUCAUUUCCUCUCUGCAAACAAAAUUGAGAGUAUUAUUUAAAUUAAAGAUUAAAGGACCAAAACACAAACCAUUUCUGAAUAAUAAAUCAUAAAAUUUGCCUUUAAUGAAUAGACCGGAUUUAAAAAAAUGAAAUCCCGUAUGCCAUAAAGGCGGUCCUGUAUCCUAGACUAAUUCUCAAGCAGCCAGCUUUGAACUUUGUUAAACAGAAUUUGAAACCAUCCCAGGGAUAGAAGUCGGGGUUAUUAUAACAUAUCUAAGAAAGUUGGUCAGAAGGAUUACCAAGUUUAACAGCCAAGAAACUUCAUCAAGCAUAGAAACAACAAUAGCAGAACAACCAGCAUCAAUGAGUUCAGACCUCAGGGAAGACAAUUUUGAUGAGACAUCUAAACCAGCAUAUGUCAGCUCAUGCACUCUAAUUGGUUUUCUUGGAGGCUCCGGCCUUGAUUCUUUCCAUAUUUCAUCCACAAGAUUUAAAUCAUAUAGGUAAACCAAUUCAUGAUUCUUCUUAGCAAUGGCCUCUUUCAAUUCCUCUGCAGCAUCAGAAGAAAAAAGAAACUGCUCCCUUCACAAAAUCAAAGAGAAGGUGGCAUCAGACAGAAGCAAGUAAAGAAUAAAAAUAAAAAAUAAAUUACUUUACAGCUAAUAAUUUUUUUUUAAAAAAGAAAAAAGGAUAAAAAUAGAUGCAUAAGAGAGAAGAAAAAUGAAUGAAUAAUUUUAAGCCAUCCAUUUGACUCAAAAGCCAAAGCUAUAAGAUAGUGGGCCUAUAAUGUAUGUUAAGCCAACUAGGGUUAAAGCACUAACACUCCACUCCACUACACAGGCAACCUCUUUAAGCUUGCUUGUAGGUUCAAUAAAUAGGGAAAAUAAACAAGCAGCUGGUUUGAACUCAUGGCUCCCCAAUAAUCAAGGUUUUGAAACUAUGUUUGAGCUAACAAAAAUGAAGGUAUACUAACAAAUAGUGCCAGUUAUCAAGAAGGCAGAGAUGAGAAUUUUUCCAUUAACUAAUUGACCUCCACUGGGACCAGCAAGGUUUGUCCCAACUAUUUGGGAUCAGCCAUAUCAAUCAAAGCACAGCUGAUCAAGGUAUGCCAAAUUCCUAGGAAACCAGCUGGUGACAAAAGAGGGGCCUACAAUGAACCUUGAUCAACACUAUUUGGUGCAAAAGGAAAUAAUGACACGCAUAAAGCAUGCUUCUGAAUGCUUUUUACCAAAUCCUGACAUAUGUAAAUGAUACAUCUAACACAGGCUUCAUCUUAGUGAUGAAAAGUAAGGGUUAAAAUCCACAUUUUCAAGGUAAAGAUAGUUAAAAAUAAAAAAUAAAAAUAAAACAUAUACUUCAAUCAGAAGCACAUAAUAACAAGAAGGAGCACCCUUUUUAGGAGGUCUGAAUGUUACUCACAGGAUCAAUGCCAAUUCUGCAACCAGGAGCCAAAACAUCAUUAAGCCAUUCACUGGUUGUAGGAACUCCAUAGUUACCAGCCCGCAUAAGAAUCCAAUUAGAGCUUAACUGCUUCUCUGCCUAGUCAUAACCAAGAGAGAAAAUUACCAAUAAAAUUAAUAUCCCUCAAGCUACAAGAUAUCAAAAUGUUAAUAAGAGAAAAAUAAAUAGAAACUACAAAAAUUUGACAGACCUCCCAAAAGUAAAAUAGAAAUAAAUAAAGCUUUGAGACCAUGAUAUAUAUAGCUAACUCAGCAGAAUGUCUAAAAAGUAAAUUUAUAGUUCUUUUUUCCCAAACCUGGAGAAAAUAACGCCCAUCUGUCCAAAGAGCUGCUUUAUCCUUUGUGACAACAGCAGUACCAGCACUGCCAGUAAACCCUGAUAUGUAGGCCCUCCUCAUAUAACAUUCAGCAAUGAACUCACUCUAGAAGCCAAAAUAGAAGUGCUUCAGAAUUAAAUAUCCAGUUGACUCAACGACGACAAGUACUAUGUGGUAAAUGGAACCAAAGAACAUGAAUCCAGAUAAACCUCCAAGUGGAACUGGAGGCUUAAUUUGUUCCCUUAGAAAUUGAAGGUAAAAAUAUCACUAAACAGAGAUGCAAUUAACAGUAUAAUGGUAAAAAGUAAGACAAGCAUUUUUAAUGGUAUUUCUUAGAAUCCUGAAAAUGAAAAGGAUUCAGGAUUAGGAUGCAUGCCCCAAGCUUGAUUUGCACUAAUCUGAGGUUAGGCUUAAAAUAGAAGUCAAAUGAGGGAUAGACCAGAUCUAUCAUUGGCCACGCAACGCUCAACUUAAAGAACUAUUUGGAUAAAAUUCCCAUGUUAUUAAAUUAUUGGAUUGUGUCAUUGUUGCAUUCAUAAAUUUAUCAAACAAGAACUCCAUGAAAAAUUUAAAAAGGUAUGUGGAAAAAUAAAUAUAAAAACAGACAUCAUGUAAUUCUAUAAGACAUUGACACAAGCCUUUUCAAAAUCUACCAUUAUUAGAAACUCCAAAACACCAAAUUUAAAAACAAUUGCUCAAAAUAGUUAAACCCAAUUAUAAUUCAGCAAUAACAGACCAUUAAAAACCCAGACAAACUGGUAAGUUAAUUAAAAAUAAUAAUAAAUUAAACCCAAUAAGUGAAAUUUUCUCUUUUCGGAUCCCAAGGAAGAAAGCGGUAAAGAUUACAGGCUUUAAUUUCUUCUCCUCAUAUAGUUUUUUUAUUAAAAGUCAAGUAGCUCCAAACCACCAAGAAAAGAACAGAAAAAAUAUAUUGAUGAACCCCCAAAAUCAAAAAGUUCAAAAUAAUGGCUCAAAACACUUAAAAAUGGUAGACAUGCCAAAUCAACGUAUCCUGGUUAAGGUUUUUGCAUGACUUGAAGCUAAUAAAAAGGUUGAUACCAACUGCUUGCUUCAAUUGAGGAGGCCCUACAAAGCUCUCAACCUGGACCAAUAUCUUAUGACUUAUGUGUUUGAAGAGUAAUGAAUCAUUUGAUCAUCUAUUUCUUCAUUGUACCAUAGCAUUGGAAUUUUGGCAUGGAUUGUUCCAUAUUGCUAUGAUUGAUUGGGUACCUCCUGGAGACAUAGCAAAGACAUUAGGAAUCUCUUUUAAAGUCUUUGGUAGCCUGACAAAAAGGGAAGAUUCUGAUAGGUAUCUAAUGAAGGAAAAAUUUAUUAGUGAUAUUAUUGAAUUUCAAGAACAGGGCCAGACUGAUACAAGAUAGCUAUUCGGGAUGCUAUCACUCUCCCCCCAAACUCCCAGAACAGCCAGCUAUCCUGACCAAUUCCAUAUUUUCCUAUUUAAGCUAUUCCAGCUUGUACCAAGAGUGUUACACAGCCUGUACAAGGACUGUUAACACUAACUGCCAGUUUGCAGUACACUUCUCUUCCCUUUUCUGGACUACACAUAACGUAUACGAGGCCUAUCAGAUUCUUUGGCAAUUGGCUAUCUUAUCCUUGAUGUGGUUUUUAUGGUUGGAGAGGAGUGCUAGGAUAUUUAAGGAUUGAUGGAGAUUUGUGGAGGCUAUUUAGGGUUCGAUUUACUCUUUCCAUUCCCUGUGAGCCUCAAUCACAAAGCCUUUUGUUGGUAUUCCUUUGUAUCUCAUAUAGCUAGAUUGGAAGAAUGUCUGCAACUCAAAGAGAUCGAAUAUGAAGACUUAUGAUUGGUUGGUACCCUCUCCUAUAGGUUCAUUAAAGUUAAAGUUUGAUAGGUGUUUUUUGGGAAAUCCUAGGCCAUUAGGUAUCAGAGGAGUCAUAAAAGAUCAUUCAGGAACAGUACUAAAAGUGUGCUCUAAACCUGCAGGAAUGGGUUCAGCUAUUGAAGUGAACAUAUUAGCAUUAUUUGAGGGCCUGGUGCAUGUCAAAGCUUUGUGCCGAUCCAAUCUAACUAUAGAGGGAGAUUUUAAUAUAGUAAUUUCUUUGGUGUCUAAAAAGGAGAGAGGCUAAUAGAAGUUCAAAAACUGGAUCCACAAAAUCAUACAUAUUACUAAUGAGGUGGGAUGCUCCUUCUCUUAGGUUUCUUGUUCAACUAAUGAAUCAUCCAGGCAAGAAGCAAAGCACUUGGUCUCCUGUGUUGGAGAUUUCCUACCCCUUGAGUGAAUAAAGUUUCUUUAGUAUAUAUACACUGUCUUUUCUUUUGUUUAUGUGGAUGAUUUUAGCUUUGGAGCAGCAAUUCUACAUCUUGGAAGGAUUGUUUAUCCUUCUCUGUAUUUACCAUUGAAUAAAUGAAUAUGUUUGUUUCUUAUUAGAAAACCUACAGACAGUAAAACAAGACAAACAAAAGAUUAUGAAGCAAAAUCAUAAAGUUGUACCUAACAAGUGAAGGUGUUUCAAAAUUACAAUUAUGUCCUAUUCCCAUCUUUUUUCAUAAGCCAAAAACUCCCAAUUGAAUUUUAACACUAAUUCACAGACAUAAUCAAUAAAAAUAAAUAAAAAAUAAAAAAUAAAAUUGAUAAGCACCAACAUAAUCAAUAAAAUCGCGAACUAAAAUUCAGAAACAGUGAUUUCUUAUUUUUUUUCAAUCUUUUCUAAGAAACCAAGUGAAUGCCACACAAAGUUCAACAUUAAAGCACCAAUAAAACUAUAAAACACACAUAACAUUCUCUUCUUCUUCGUCUUCUUCUUUGGGAAAAUAAGGGGAAAAAAGCAUGAUGAACCUGAUGACUGAAGCUUCCUGUUCUAUUAUUAUUUCUUUUCUUUUUCCUCAACUUUUCUCAAGACAAUUUCUUCCUUUUCCUACCUUUUCUCAAACAAUCUUUUUCUUUUCCCACCUUUCCUCAUAAACCAAACAAACCCCAAUACAACUCAACAUGAGUAUAGCAUAGUAAAAACUAAAACUUCAUAAUAAAUUAAAAGUUUUUAGUCAAUAAAGAUCAACAAGUACAAUUCAAAAUUUUAAUUUUAUUCCCUUUUCCUUCAUUUUCUAAACAACCAAACACCCCACUCCAAAUUCAACUAAAAAAAAAUACCAUUUCAAUCAUAAAACCCACAAUUAAAAAAAAAAAUGGAAAAGCACACACGCGCGAGUUGAACCUGAUUAGAGGAGGUUCCCCUCUCUGAAAAUUUUACAGUAUCUUUUUUUUUCCCACCUCGUCUCAGAAACCAGACAAACCCGAAUUGAAAAUCGACACCAACACGCCAUAAAAAAACACUACAAUUACACAAUAACUUAAACCAUUCAAUAAAAAUCGUGAUGCAAAAUUCAAAGUGUUAAUUUUUUUUUUUUCUUUGCCAACAUUUUCCGGCCAACCAAACAAACCCCACCAAAAAAUCAACAUGAAAUAGCCAUCAAAACCACAGAACCCGCAAAACAAACUACCGAGAAAACAUGAACUGAACCUGGUGGGCGUCCUGGGAAGGGAUAAUAUACGCAUCAAUUCCAAUUCCGGGCUUCGAGAACAGCUCACGCAGAGAACGAAGCUUCUCAUCCUGCUCGGAAUCGGCAGAUUUCUUCCGAAACUGAGAAGAGGGUUUUGCGGUAAUGGAAGCGCAGUUUCGAACAAGGAAAAUAGGGCGGUUCUGGGAUUUUGGGCAGAAACUGUGGGGACUCUUGAAUUUGUAGAAAAUGGGAAGCGAGUGAGAGAGGAAAUGGAGACAACGGGGAUGCAGCUGAGAAGAACGAGGAGAGAAAGCCGUAGAGAGGGUGAGAGGAGACAUCAGUGAUGAUGCUGUUGACCGCAUGGUUGCUAAUUCAGAGAGAGAGAGAUAAGGCCUCUGCGAGAGAGCCAAGGAUGCAGCACUCCUGGGAGGCGGGGAGAGAAUCCAAGAAAUUUUGGUGUUUGGACAGAGACCCAAAACGGUGCGUUUUGAGGAUGCUCAUAAAACGGUGUCGUUUCCUUUAGUAUUUCCUUAGAAAAAAUUUCCCAAUAUUGUACCCUUUAAAAAUGAAACAAAUAUUAAUUUUGCAUCAUCCACUAACAUAACCAUUAAUGUUUUGAUACAUUGUAUUUGUAUAUUAAGAAAAUACAAAAUAAUAAUAUUUUUAUUUGGAUUUGUUAGGAUAUUUUUCCUAUUUUUUGUUUUCAAAAAUAAAAACUUUUAUAUAAAAAUAAAAAUUAUUAUACAAAAAUAUAUAUACUUAUCUUAUGUCCUUAAAUUUUAAAUUUUAUUUUUAAAAAUAAUUAUAGCCAUGUUUGGCAACUGUUUUUGAAAACAUGAAAAAUAGUUAUUGAAAAUCAUGUUUAAAGAUUGUUUUCUAUUGUUUUAUAAAAUAAAAAUCUAUUUGAAAACCCACUUUUAACAUAUUUUCAAAAUUUUAAAAUAUGUUUGUAAAUGUUUUAUGUCUAGAAAAAAAUGUGAUCAAUUGUAUCAUGUCGUGUAUGCAUAUUUAGUUUUAUUACUUUGCAUUAAAUAUGAUCCCAUUAUAUUUUAAUAUGGUUUUUUUAUAGGGUUUAUUAUACUUUAUCCCCUCGCAAACAUAUACCAUGUUUUGCAUAUUAUCCCCUCAAAUUUAAAAUUGAGCAAUAUAUCAAUCAUGCUUUAUAAUGGUAUGUAUUGUACAUUUUUUGAGUUAUGACAUUACAUUUUUUUAUGGAAUGACAUAUGAUCUUCGCGUUAUUAAAGGUAAAAUUGUCAUUUUUCUCAAUCUGCAAUCUUCAUCUCCCCCGUCAAUGAUUUCUUCUCUUAUUGCAGUUGGUGAAGCCCCAUAUCGAAGUCCUCCCCCUAUUCUUACUUCCCUUCAAAGCCUUAAAAUCUCAAUCCCACAAAGUUGCUACCAAAAACCCCACAUAAAUUCUUCUUGUCCGUUGUUCCUCUUUGUUCAGGGGUUUUUAGUAGCAACUUUGUGGGGUUGGGUUUUAGGGCUUCAAAAGGACAAAAGAAUAGGGGAGGAGGGCCUCAACUUUGGGCUUUACCAACAGCAAUAGAGGAAGAAACGAUUGAUGGGGGAGAGGAGGGUUGCAAAUUAAGGUUAAAAAUAUGAUGAUCCUUGCCCUCACUUCUUAAAAAAUGACCAAUUUGCCCUUGUCACACGGAGAAGAUAUGCCAUUCCCUAAAAAAAUGUUAAAAAUACACAUCGUAUGGAAUUAUAAAGUAUAAAUGGUACAUUAUUCGAAUUUGAACUUGAUGGACCAAUGUGCAAAAUACAGUAUUGGUUGGGGGCAAAGUGUAAUAAACCAUUUUUUAUAUAUAUAUAUUUGAUUUUUUAUUUGUUUAUAUUUUCAAUUUUGGUCAUGAUUAAAACUUUGGAACCUAAAUGGAUACCUAAAAUGUUCCUAAACUUAUGUAUCUUUUGUACAUGGGCAUAAAAGUUGUAAUAGAAAGGAUAACAUUCACUUUACUUUUAUAAAGGUAAGCGCGUUGAAACGCAGCGUUUCGGGAGGGCUCAUACCCACAGUCCCACUUGAGCAGAGUAUCGUGGUGAUCGCCAGAUUCGCCACUGAUCUUCGACCUUGACCUCAACCCCCUGUUGUUGCCUCCGCAGAGCUCCGACCCCACAUCAAUGGCGAUCAUAACUGAAGAAAUCGACGAAAACCCUCGUUCUAAACCGACCCGCGAAACCCCUAAACCAACCCAUAAAACCCCCAAACCACCCCCAACGUCAACCUCACCAAAUCCAUUCUCCUUCUGGUUUUACUUCACUCUCUCAGUUUCUCUUGCCACUUUCCUCUUCUCCUCUCUUCCUUCUCUCUCUCCCCAAGAUCCCAAAUCAUGGUUCCUCUCUCUCCCCACCAACCUCCGCCACCACUACUCCAAGGGUCGAAUCAUCAAGGUCCAGACCGACGCACACCAUCCCCCAUUUGAAGUCUUCACGGUCCAAGAAGGCGCCAAAGCAUCUGAGAAUGUAGUGAUCGUUCACGGUUUGGGGUCUAGUUCGUAUGCCUUUCGCAAUGUUAUCCAAUUUUUGGGGUCCAGAGGGGUUCAUGCUGUUGGUGUUGAUCUCCCUGGUUCUGGGUUUUCUGAUAAAUCGGUGUUGGUGGAGGAAAUGGGAGAUGGUGGGGUUUUAGGGAGGUUUUCGGAGGUUUAUAGUCUUAUUCAAGAAAAGGGCUUCUUUUGGGCUUUUGAUCAUCUUGUUGAAACUGGGCAGAUGCCAUAUGAGGAAAUUCAGAUUCAGGUUUCCAAGAGAAAGAGUGUUAAAGUAUUGGAAUUGGGCCCUGAAGAAAUGGGUAGGGUUUUGGGCCAGGUGAUAGAUUCACUGGGGUUGGCUCCAGUGCAUCUUGUUCUGCAUGAUUCUGCAUUAGGAAUUUAUGCGAACUGGGUUUCGGAGAAUUCGGGUGUGGUGAGGAGUGUGACGCUUGUUGAUACCAUGCUAGGGGCCUCGGCUUUGCCACUAUGGCCACUGGGCGUCCCAGUGGUUAGGGAGGUGGUACUUGGGUUUGAGUUUGUGUUUGCAAGGCUUCUCAACUUGUGUUGUGUGCGAAAGAUUCCUAUUUCAGAUGUGGAGGCACAUAGAGUUCUUUUGAAGGGUAGGGAUGGAGCUAGAGCAGUUGUUGGAACAUGGAAGAAGUUGAAUUCUAGCUUUGAUUUGCAGGAAUGGGGUGAUUCGGAAGGGUUGAAAGGUUUGCCAGUGCAAGUGCUUUGGUCUAGUGGUUGGUCCAAAGAAUGGAGUGAAGGGGGCCGGAAGGUUGCUGAUGCGCUUCCACAUGCUACAUUCAUCACUCAUUCCGGUAGCAGAUGGCCUCAGGUAAUGAUUUAAUAUUUCCUAUUGCCAUUGCCUGAUGUUCAAUGUAUUUGAUGAAACCAUAAGUUUCAAACUCUAGGCUCCAUUUGGCUGAAUAUCAGAUGAUUUGUUCUAAAAAUUUAUAGAUGAGAUGAUUAUGUAAUUAGUUUAAAAUAAUUUGACUUGAGAAUAAAGUGGAUUAAACUCUUGUAUCAAAUGGAUCAUUUAACUACACAUUGGCUUCUGGAGUAGAGUAGUUUCACUGUAAUGCAACUGUGCUACAAUUGAUUGGUGAGUGAGGCUGAUUCUUGUAUGGUCCUGAUUGGGAAAUGGUGUAAUAAAUGGUCCUGAUCAGCUUUACCAGUUAUGUAGUCCCUACAAAAUCAAUGCGCUGCCAGGAGAUCCGGAUCAGUUUCUGAAUGCAACUUCAGUGAAGAAUGACAAUUUGAUAGUUAAAACUGUAUUGCUAAAUGUUUAGGGUUGAAACCAUUGAAGUUUGUUGCUGCAUUUAGAUGUUCUUUGCAUAUUAUGUCCACCAAAAGUAUUGUGUUGGUGACAGAUUUUGGAUUUGCCUUGCCAAUCAUGUCAUCCAAAAUAAUUGAGGAAUGGAAGAUUGUAAAUCUGUAAUAUAGAUCUUUCUGUCCCAACAUUUGCAGUGUUGAUUGAAUUUUGAAAAAGUUGGAAAAGACCAGCAACAACAAUUUUUCAAGCCAGCAAUUAGGUUGGCUGAAUUCUAGCUACUUUUGUGAUGUGAUCAAAAGAAAUGUUUGUGCCGUUUGUUUUAGCCUUUUGGUAUUCUAAGCAUUUUAUAACUAAUAGAUUUUUGGGUUGGCCUGUGGUCUCCUUUUUGACCUUUUCUGUACUCAUGUUUGAAUUCUUUUUUUCUCUCAAGAAAGUCCUCCUUUCCUUUCAUCUUCCCAUUCUUAAUAAAAUUGCCAUCCCUAAGAAAAGGAAGAAAAUCAUUGCCAUAAUAGAUCAUGGCUCCCAUCAUUCUCUUGGAAAUUAUUGUAACAUUUAUCCCUCCAUUUUUCUAGCACUUUAGGGCAUUGUUUUGGUUUCAGGCUGUGGUUAGUUGUUUGUCUUUUCCUUUGCUUGCAUUUGGACCUUUUUGUAUACAUCGUGUGUACUUGGUGCACCAAUUCCAAGUGCUUUUAAUAUAUUUAUUUAUUUACCUAUUUAGAAAAAAAAAACAUUUAUACAGAAGAAACUGUUUCCACCAUUUUUGUUUGACAUGGUCCAUUGUGAAGAGAGGCAUAUCCAUCAACCCACCUGCUUCCUUUUGUACAUUUCCAGUUUUCUAUCCGAUCUCAUCAUUUCAUUUUCUUUUUAUAAGUAAUUUGCAUAAACAUAUGUCGACACAAGUAGUUGGGAUAAGGUGCUUUUCAGUUGAGUUCAUUUUCUGCAAAUGGAUCGCCCAAUUAAAAACAAAGAAAUCAUAACCACUGAUCAAUUCAAUUCAUUUUUAGCUUUUAUACUUUCUUUUGUUGAUUGAGCUAUUGAUAGAUCAGGAAACCACUGCACUAAUCCUAUUACUGGUACAUGUUGUUACAUGUGCCGUUGUCUGCUUGCCAUGUUUGAGGCUCUUGCAUUCUGUAACCGAUGAACAUGACCUGUACAACUCAAAGCCCUUUGCUACCCAAUAUAAAAGACAUGUCAAAACUCCUAUUAUGCUCAUUUCUUUAAUCUAGGCAGAAACAAUUAACUUUGUGUUUGCCUGAAACUAGCAAUCCAUUGUUCUUGUAAUCAUAUAUUUUUUAUUACUGUAGCUCCAAUAUUUUGUGUUUGAUCAUCUCAGGAAGAUGCAGCUGAUGAGCUGGCCGAAAACAUUCUUCGAUUUGUGUCCUCGUUACCAAAAUCUGUCAGACAAGUUGAGGAAGAGCCUGUGCCCGAGCAUAUCCAGAAGAUGCUCGAUGAAGCACAAGGCGGUGACCAUCAUCACCAUCACCAUCACCAUGAUCAUGGUGCCCAUGGUCAUGCUCAUGAUCAUUCAGACGGUUACAUGAAUGCAUAUGGGCUUGGUCAUGGGUGGGCGAGUUGAUCCAUUUCCUACUAACAUUCACAAGUGAACCCUACCAGGCAUGAGCUUCCCUCAGAUCCCUGGGUGUUGCUUCUCUGGUAUCAUACUGUGCCAUUCUCUUCGAAGUUCUCUAUGCCAGAAUCAUAGUGAGAGAGAUUGUUGUUUUGAAGCUUUGAAGCUUUUGACUUAUCAGUGAAUGUUUGUGAAGACCAGCUUAUCUAUCAAAUUGGGUAGUCUUCUGAUUUAUCUUCACUUACAAGUUACAUCUAGUUUGUUGUUUUCUGUACUUUGUAAGUUUGUAACUAAGCUCUUUGGUUGCAAUGAGACACUGGUUGACUCAAGCUUGUCUGGAUUCUAUUAUUUCUGAAAGUGUGAUACCCAUGAUUUUGGAAUGAUUAUGAUCAUCUAUUUAUAUUUAUUUGCUCGGACUAUGUUUGGUUCUGGAAAAAUUGAGAGAAAAUGCGAGGGAAAGAAAAUAUAAAGAAAAAAAUAAAAUAAAAAACGUAAAAUCAAUAACUCAUUUUUAUAUACUAUUUCAAAGUGAUUUCACAUAUUUUAACUACAAUGCUAACUUGGUAGGUUGGUUGGGUUGAUGGUUAAUGUGAAACUAAUAUGAAUUAAAAAAUAAUCAAUUCGAGUCUAACACAAUCCGAGGUAUUUGAUCCAAGGUUAUUUUUUUAGUUUUCAUGUUGUAUAAAUCAAAAUUUAUUCAUAAUGUUUUUCAAAAAAAAAUACCAAUGUAUUUAUAUCCAAUUUCAAAUAGUAAAGAGACACAAUUCCAAAAUAGUAAAAAAAAAAAAAUUACAUAUAUUUUCAAAAAAAAUGAAAAAUGUACAUAUAUGAUUAUAGUUUAUUAUUUAAAAAAAAUCUAAAAAUUUAUGAGAGAAUAAAAAUUUAUAAAUAUUAUAAAAAUAUUAAAUCAGUUGGUUAGAUUUUGGUUGUCUAAACCUUAAUAUAAACUCAACUUAAAUUAAAUUCCAGUUGAAAAAACUUAAUUAAAAGUCGACUCAAGUAUUAAAAAUUAUUUUCUUAAAUUAAAUUCGAGUUGAAAAAACUUAAUUAAAAGGCAAUCAAAGUAUUAAAAAUUAUUUUCUGAGCUCGUCUAGAGAUAGGAUUUAAUAUCAAGUAUUGCAUCCUCAAUUUCACUUUUUUUAAUAUAAAAAUAAAUAAUUUUUAAAAUAUUAGUUUUAAAUUUAUUUUAUUCUAUUUUUUGGUAUUUUCUAUAGUUGAUUCAAACACGAGAAAAUAAUUUUUUUAAUACUUUCUUAAAACCAAAUAUAAUACUACCUUAUGUAAAGUUGAAAUAUUAGUAAUAUUUCAAUUAUAUUUUGGAUAAUUUUUUUUUCUUUAUAAACAAAAAUAGUUUUAACUCAUUAAUCAUAUAGAAGACGUUUGAUAAUGAUUUUAGGAAGUGUUUUAAGUUUUUUUAAUACUUUAAAAAUAAAAAUUUCCCAAGUGUUAAAAAAUGUCAAAAACACUUUAUAGAAUCAAUACCAAAUGUAGUCAUAGUAUGACUCAAAAUCGAAAAAAAUAUUUAAUCAAAUGAGAUUUAUCUCAAAAAGAAAAUCAAUUCAUUAAUUACAACUAACAGAAUUGAUUACGAACAAAUAAGAACAUUUUUAAAAAUAUUGUAGAUAUGGACUUUUAUCUUAUAUCUAUUGAUUAUAAAAAUAAGAAUGACUCUUGUAUUCAUGGAUCAACAUUACAACUAAAUAAUCGUUGACAGAUAGGAGGUUGGCCGCAUUCAUCAACUCUCUUUGUAUUCGAAUGUCGUAGGGCGUUUUGAUGAAUAUAUUACAAGGUAAGGAUAUGCAUUUUUUGUGACAAUAAUUGUUUUUAGCAUAGUUGGUAGCGGUUAAGGUCUUACAAGUGGUAGUAAAGUUAAAGUCAUGAAUUCAAACAUUAAUGGUUUAGUUCGAGGAGAGAUUAUUGGCAGAUUGAAAUAAUCACCCAAUAUAAUUCUUAUAAUCACAAUACACAUCCAUUUUUGCUUUAGAAAAAAGGUCGAUAUCAAGGUAUGAAUCAAUAUAUUAGUAUCAAUAGUAAUAAAAAUACAAGAUGGAUUGAAUAAUUAAUAAGAAAGAUAUGUUUUAUCAAGUUAAGAACAAUUUCAAUGCAUUUGUUUUUUCAAAUAAUUAAUGUAUCAAAAUAUACAAAAUAAUAUACAUUUGAUACUAAGAAAAUGAAUAAAAAAACAAAUUAUUUUUGUAGAUCAUCCGAUGAAUAAAACGAAAUAGACUAAAUACAAACCGAUGCAAAUAAGAUAAUUAUGAUUGAAUCAUUAGAAUGAUUCCAAGUUUCACCUUAUUUAACAUAAUCAUUUGCUUUGAAUUUUAGUUAGGUGUUAAAGUAGAAAUUAUAUUAGUAAAGAAUUCUCAUAUAAGUUAUAAAAAAAAGUUAGAAAAUAUGAUAUCUUAAAAAAUAAAUAUUUAUUUUUACUUUUAAAUAGCCAAUAAAUUAAAUUCAAUAAAAUCCUUGAGGAAUUUUCAAAAUAAUUUCCUGAGGCCCGGUGCACCAAAGGGAUGGUGCACCGGAUCCACCGGACAGUCAAAACGGACGUUCCUGUUAUCGAUAUACCACUUGACUGAAGUAAGCCAGCGUCCAUGUAUCUCGUUCCUUAAAUCCUCUGUUUGGCUCUCUAGAGAAUUGGGGAAAAAAUGGAAAAUUUUUGACUCGAUUCUUUCGGCUCUAUCUGUUGCAGGCAACCCAUUUUCUCGGCGUCCAAACGGACCUCAAAAUGGGAUGUUGCGGCGAUGAAGAAGAGGAAUUCCUCAAACACCUCAUGCCCAACUUCUCUGAAACCCUAACCUUAGGCUCCACCUUCCAAGCAUCCACUUCCGGCGACUCCGACGCCGUCAUUUCUGCGAUGAACUCGCACUUCUCGGCCCUCACCUGCCAGGACGUCCUCAGGGGCAUUUUCGAGAGGCUUCCGGUUGCCGAUCUAGCUCGGGCGAGUUGCGUGUGCCGAGUCUGGAACUUGGUGGCCUCGGACAGAGGGAUCCAGGUUCGAGCUUUUAGGGCUCCGUGGAAAUUGAAGGACGUGGUUGGAAUUCCGAGCUCCGGAAGCUUCUGGAGAGAUGAUAGUCUUGGAAAAUUUGCAAUCUCUCAUCGGUUGGUGCGCGGUGACUCUGUUGCUAGCCUUGCCGUGAAAUACUCUGUUCAGGUAUUGUUUGGUUUUCUAGAAAAUGAAGGAAAAAACGAAAAGAAGCCAAAUGUUCUGGUUGUUAGACUAAUGUAUUUGAUUUUGAUUAUUUUCAAUGCAACUGGAAUAUGGGAUUCGAACUCAGAAUUUUCUUUUUUUUUUCUUUGAUUUCUCAGCUACCAAGCGGACAUUAUCUCUCCAUUUGGUGGUUUAGUUAAUUUAGUUCAGAUAUCAAAUCCGAUUUGGCUGUUUGGCUGCUGAGAUAGCAUGGAAAAGAGAGGAAUUUAGAAUCUUCUAUUGUCCAUUCAUUGCUUUGAUAAUGAAGGAGCACAAAUAAAAUAAAAUAAAAUAAAAUCGCAUAGAAGCAUUUUAACACUAGUAAAAAGAAGGUCUAUGCAAGAUGAUACCAUACUAGAUAUACAUGCGUACUGCAAGAUCAAUGAAUGUCACAACCCACUUCUGCAAUAAUAUUUCGAAUUAGGGAACUUAUAAGAUAGUUGGUGAGUACUGGCUUGCCCAAGUGGUUUACAAACAGAUGCUAAGUGUUUCUUAGGGACCUUAAAAUGCAUGAAAGCAAGCUGUUAUAGCAGAUCAAUGGUCAUACAACUUUGCUUUGGGUCAGUUUGUAUUUGGGAGGGCUUCUUCACGCCUUCAAGUUUGAUUUGGGGGUUUCUAGCUAGCUACACAGUAAGUUGGGUGAAAGGGUAGGAUUGCAUGUCUUGCACUCUUUCAGCCUUAUUAUGAAGGUUAUUACCUGAUGCUGAUACCAUUAAAACAGGGCCCCAGGAGACACAAGUUAAAUAUGGUCCUAACCUUUGGCAUUUUUCAUGAUGUGGUUUCUCUCAAUACUCAAGUCUCUGCAUCUUUUGAUUUCUUUUAUAAGCUAAUUAGGGUUUCUAGCUAGCUACACAGUAAGUUGGGUGAAAGGGUAGGAUUGCAUGUCUUGCACUCUUUCAGCCUUAUUAUGAAGGUUAUUACCUGAUGCUGAUACCAUUAAAACAGGGCCCCAGGAGACACAAGUUAAAUAUGGUCCUAACCUUUGGCAUUGUCCAUAAUGUGGUUUCUCUCAAUGCUCAAGUCUCUGCAUCUUUUGAUUUCUUUUAUAUGCUAAUUGGGGAAUGAUGGUUUUCCAUCCGAGUUGGAAGUAGAUUGAUGGAGAAUUGGCAUGGACAGGCAUACAGUGGAUUGAAUUGAAGAAAUGAUCAGGUAUUAAAUCCCUAGAUUUGUUGAUUAUGGUCCAUUUGGGGCUAGAGCUAGAGUUGUAGAGAAGCCACAAACAAACCAUAAAUCCGCAUGUAGGGAUUUGAGAAAGUAGGGGAAAGAGAGUCUGGUGGAGAACGUCAGAAUAACAAGCUAGGGUUUGUGUGAGCAUUAAUUGCCUCUUUAAGCUUCUUGAGAAAUCUGUUAAGAUGACGCUCUUGGGCUGGGAUGAGUCUUUGUGGGAAAAAAGAGAAGGGAAGUUUGGAGAGCAGACCCUUUAUGUAUUUUUUGGACGGUUUUGAAGACAAAGAACAAAAUUGCAUUUGAAGAUAAUGUGCUGUCCAUUCAAAGACUUAAGAGCUCUUUUGUUUAUUUUCUAUGGUCGGAGACGAAAUUAUUCAUAAAAGAUGGUCCUUUGACUUUAGUUGGUUUCAUUGAUUGGGUGGGAUCUCGAUGAGGGUGGUUUUUUUGGCUCCUCCGCUUUUGAUGGCCGUUUUUUUGUCCCAGCUGGGGUGGGGGGUGCAUCUCUUCUGAAUUUUUUUGAGUUGCUAUUUUAGCGUCUCUUUUCUAUACAAUUUCUUCUCUUUUACUUAUAUAUAAAAAAAAAAAGCUUCUUGAGAAAUCUGGGAAAAGAAAGUUAGAUGAAGAAAGUGGAAAUAAAUCAUUACGGUCAGUAUGAAUGCCAACAGGUAAGAUUGGGGUUUGAGGGAAGAAAAAUGCUCAUAGGAGUUUGAAAGCUAGGGGAAAGAAUGUUGAAAACUAUUGAAAUUGACCUCAGGUAAAACUUCAUUGGAAUAUUGUAUAUAAUACCUAUCAAAAAACAAAAAAAUUGUAAAUAAUAGUAUUGCUACAUGUUAUUCUGACAAAGGGAUUUAAAAUCCUCAAUAAUAGCUUCUAGAUAAAUCCAGCCUCUUGAACUUAUCUAGUAAGCUCUAGGGUGCAACCAUACAAGAACUAAUGCAUCAGAUCCCAUGAGAACUCAGCACAGUGUGCUUGGCCAAGAGUGUUGCUUGGGAGGGACAUCCCAUAGGAAGUCCUCAUUUUGACCCCUUCAAAGUGGAAACGAUAGAAACAAUAAUGUUUUUUAAUAAAUAAAUAAAUAAACCUAAGCUAGUAACUUUCUUCCUUUGCCUGGGUGGUGUCAUCUAUCUACUUUGUGCAGGUGGUCUGGGGUCUGAACCUCCAUGAGACUCCUCCAUGAAGGUGUGUGUAAUAGAAUACCUCCAUUAGUGGUGAGAAUAAUUGAGAGAGAUGGGAUUUUUGUGUUGGCUAGUAAUAGUUAAGAAAUGACUGGAUGAAAUCAAAUUACAGGGUUGAAUAAGUUAAUAUUCUUAUAUAAAUUUGAAAGAUAGAUGUUAAUUCAAAAGUGCAAUAUUUGGCACAGCCUCGUUACUUGUUUUUUGUGUUAUCCCAUUUUUCUUAGAGGCCUUAACAUUGACUGUAGCAUGCUGAAUGAUUCAAUGAUGGAGAUCAGUCUUCCCUGUUGUGGCAACUUUUGUUCCCAUAGUUAUACAUUCCUUGAUUGCACAGAGAUUGAUUUUCUGCUAUCAUUUUCCACUAUUUAGAUUUUCACUUCUUGAAGGAAAGCUUCUUCGUUUACCCCCUUUUGUUGUUAACCAGAAGAAUGCAUUGCUGUCCUGAAAACAUUUUUCUUGUGUUUGCAGGUUAUGGACAUAAAACGUUUAAACAACAUGAUGAGUGAUCAUGGCAUAUACUCGAGGGAGAGGUUACUGAUCCCUGUAAGCAAACCAGAUAUUCUUAUCAAUGCCAUCUGCUACAUAGAGCUGGAUUCCUAUGCAAAAAGGGAAGUAGCGGUGCUGUAUCUGGAAGGUGGGCCUGACAAAAAGCUCAACUCUUUGUUGAAUAAGGUCUCCUCUGAGCAAGGCAGGAGAAGGGUAAUUGAGUCCUUGAAGAGAAGCAUGCAAAUAGAUGAUGGAACUGCCCAAUACUACUUGUCUAUAUCAAAUGGUGACCCUCGAGCUGCAAUCUCAGAAUUCUCUGAAGACCUUAGGUGGGAAAGGCAUGCAGGCCUGUCCUAGUUCAAAAAAAAUAAAUUGUGGAGCUAAGUUAGCUUCUACUGCAGAUUUGUCCGCAUUUUCAUGGGUUUGUGUGUGGUGGCUUUCCUUGCAAUGAUGUCCAUAUUAUUUAUUUUUCUCAAGGGAAUAUAGACUGUAAUUCUAACAUGACGGUUGUGAUCCUAAUGAACGAAGCAAGGAAGUCCCUUGGUGCCAUUUGUCCUGUGUUCAUUCCUUUUACUUUAGCCGAUUUUGUAAAUAUGUGGCUUCUAAAAUGGUUGAUGAAUGUUGUAAAUCAAACACAGAAGGGACCUGUAAUAAUGUUCCAUUUAGUGAACUUUAAACUAUAAGAAUGGAAUUUGUUCCAACUGCACUUGUGAUACUUGUCUGACCAAUGCUUCAAGUAAUGUUGCCAGGUUUAUUUACUGAGCUUAUAAGCCACAAAAACAGGCAUUGGAUUUCAUCUUGCUUCACUACUAGUCAUGGCAGCAGAUCAGCCUAUUGUAUGGGAGCAGCAAAUAACCAAGCUUAUAUGCCAAAGGAUUGGGCCCCUUCUUUGUUUAUCAUAUAUGACAAGCUACAUACAAGGAGUUGAAUGUUUCAACCAGCUAGACAAUGCCAACAAACUCAUGAUCCAUGAAAAGAAAGCCAGCUUUGUUUGGAAUUUGUCCCCAAAUCACAGUUUCCAGGAAGCUCUCUCAGUGGGAAACCUACCUCCAAGGGAGUGUAUCCCUGAUAUUCAUCAGAAGCUCCUCCAAGUUUUAAGGUGACUCCCAAUUGAUUGGGUGGAAUAGGAGAGAGAGAGCGAGAGCGCGGCGGCGAGCGAGAACGUGAUGAAGGGAGAAGGCGAGAAUACGCCGGCGAGGGAGCUGAAGAUAAGGAGGGGCCUUGAAGAAGACGAAGGGGGAACAGGUUCGUAGUGGAGUCCAAGGUGUUCGAGCUUGCGUUAAUAGAGAGAAGAGGAAAACCCCAAAUAUUCAUAGAGGAAAGUAAGGGAGGAGUCUCGUCUUGGGUCAGAGUGGGAGUGGAGAGCUUAGGGUUCCUAAUGGAGGGCUUACACCACUACAUAAUGGACGAGAAAGAAGACAGAUGGGAAAGGGAAUGGAAGGAACAGGGGAAAUCCUACUCUUUGCUACGAAGCCCAAAUAGAGCGGGGUGCUUCCUCCGUCUAGGGGUAACCGACUUGGAACGAAAGCAAUACUGUAUCUACAUCCCAAAAGGUAGAGGAGGAAAAAAGGGAUGGGCUUCAAUGGCGGAAAAUCUACAGCUACUGCGAAGAUCAAUCGACAGAAAGGACAACAUACAAGAAGAAAAGGUCGGUGGAAACUUGGUUGUGAAGAGAACGUUCGCGAAAGUGGUGAAAAGACCGAUCUGCAGAGAUAAAAGCUCAGUUAAGGUGAAGGUAUGGAGGGAGGAAAUCCAUAGAAUCUGGAAAAAUUGGAACAUUGUUUAGUUGGGAGCUGGAACCCUGGGUCAGGCGAUGGAGAAGAUUUGGAGAAAUUGGGGAAAUUUCUGGCGAACUCUUGGGGAUUGAAAGGAAGGUUAGGGUUGGCAAGAUUGGAGAGAAAUAGAAUUUUGUUGGAAUUUGAAUUAUUGGAUGAAGCUCAACGUGCUCUUCUUUCAGGAGAGAGAACGAUGGGAGGGCUUAGGCUGAGAUUUGAGCAUUGGAGUCCAAAGACUGGUUGCAGGGAGGAGGAGGAACAAAGCAAUGAAGUAUGCGUUAGAAUCUUUGAGGUACCAGUCUCGUUGUGGAACCCGACUGUGUUGAGUAGGGUGGGGGAUGAAUGUGGUGGCUUCGUUGCCAUCGAUCCGUAGAUGGCGAAGUUGGAAGAACUCCAAUGGGCUAGGAUUUUGGUUAAGAUGGACGGAGAAGCUAAGCUGAGUAUGUUGGAGAUUGGGGUUGAGGAGGAAGUUUACGCCCUUGUCCUCUAGUGGGAGCUUAGGCCAUCCGUGAAGAAGAUUAGGUUUGACAGUCGAAAAAGUGGGGAGGUUAGGGGUGACAAUUUCUCACGCUCCGGCUCGCGCGUGGAGUUGGAAUCGGUCCUCGAAGUCAGAUGAGGGGACGAGGAUGCAGGAGAGAGGUAUGGGCCGGGAGGUGAUAGCUGAUCGGGCCCAAGAAUCAGCGCCCAUGGGAUCUGUGAGGAGGGCCAGUGGGCUGAGCUCACAAAGAGAAUUUAUGGGCCUAAAGUUAAAGGGAGUGGUGAAUGAAGGUGUUGGGUCAGAGGCUGGGCCAUCCAAGAGAUGGGCUUUUGACGGGAAUGGUUCUAUGCAUGAUGGGGCCAGACCAAUUAAGCCCAUGGCCUAAGAAUUAGUUUUCAAACGGCCCGAGGUGCUGACGUAUUUAGAUAAGGGGUUGGGCUUGCAGGAGAGGAACUUGGGCUGGAAAGGGAUAGCAGACCGAGCCUAGGUGCCAGUGAUUAAGGGCAUAGAGAAGAGAUCAUGUGGGCUGAAUGCAGUGAUGAGCCUAAAACUAAAGGAAGUGGUGGCUAUCUCUGCUGGACUAGAGGCUGGCCAGCCCAAAAGAUGGGCUCAUGAUGGGAGUGGCCCAAUGUCUGAGUUGGAAGGGGCCAGACCAAGUAAGUCCAUGGCCCAAAACAAAGUUAAAAGACCCCAGGAGAAGGAAUGUCUCUUGGAAUGCAGAAUUGCUAGCAAUAGGAGCUUUUCAGAGGGAGAACGCUUAGUUAUUUGGGAAACAGAGGAAAUAAGGAAGAAAAUGGAGAAAGCCAUACUCUCAGCAACAGACAAGGCUCUAGCAGAGGAAGCCAUGAGGUAUGAUUCUGGCCUAAGAAUAGAGGGGAAAAGGGGCUAUGGGUCUUCUCAUCUUAUCCUUUAUUCUUUUGAUCGGGCUCCGGAGAGGGAGUCUUACGAUCACUCUGGGGUGCUAGGGGAAAUAAAUGAAGUUGGACCCGGAGUGGAUGGCAAUGGAUGUUGGGACUUGGUAGAAUUCACUAAGGACAGUAAUUUGGCUAGGGGGGUGGAGUGGGAUUCAGAGAUGACAAAGCCUCAAGAGAUCAGGAGUGAGAAAUAGGACAGAUGGGAGGAAAGUAGCUUGGCGAAGUUUAGUCACUUUUUAGGAGAAAGAGACGAGAAAGAAUUCAUAGCAAAGAAUUGAUGGAGAAGUCAAAAUUUGAAAGGGAAUUGAAGAGGCUAGAGUGCUCAGUUAAUUAUGAGAAGGGGAAUAAACAAAAAGGCCCUUCACAGACAAAUGGGAUCAAAUUGCAAUAGAUUAAUGAAGCUAAAGUUGUUAAGUUGGAAUGUGAGGGGGGCAAAUGACAGGUCCAAAAGGAAAAUUAUCAAGACAUUCAUAAGGAAUAAAAAAGUUGACUUACUGUGUAUUCAGGAGAUAAAAAUUUAGCCAAUGUCGGAGGGGGUGGUGAGAAGUUUAGGCUUGGGAAGAUUCUUAGAUUGGAGGGCCUUGGAUGCGGAUGGGACAGCGGGAGGUCUGUUGAUUUGCUGGGAUAAAAAAUCGCUGGAAAUUGUGGAUUGGGAGGAGGGCCAGUACUCUCUAUCUUAUAGAUUCAAGAAUGUGGAAGAUGAAAUUGUCUAGGUGUUUACGGGAGUCUAUGGUCCUUUCACUAAAGAGAAAAGAGAAUGUUUGUGGGAAGAGAUUGGAGUUGUAAGAGGAAUUUGGGACGAGCCUUGGUGCUUAGGGGGCGACUUUAAUAUUACCCUAUUUCAAAGAGAAAAAAGCAGACAAGGGAGAAUAACUCCGACCAUGAUGAGGUUUGCUUAUAUUAUUGAUGACCUAAGGUUGGUAGAUUUUCCGUUGCAAGGGGGAGUGUUUACUUGGAGCGGGGGCCUUAACAACCAGUCUUGGGCAAGACUGGACAGGUUUUUGGUGUCUCCUAGUUGGUUAGAUCAGUUCAAUGGGGUGCUUCAAAGAAGACUGCCUUGUCCUGUUUCUAACCACUUCCCCAUUCUUCUAGAAGGGGGCGAGCUAAGGAGAGGUCCUUCUCCUUUCAAGUUCGAAAACCUGUGGCUAAAGGUUGAGGGUUUUUUAGACCUUAUCUGAAAUUGGUGGAGGAGGAUUGAGGUAAGAGGCACUACUAGCUAUAGAUUGGCAGCAAAGAUGAAAUAGAUCAAACAAAAACUAAAGGUUUGGAAUAGAGAGGUCUUUGGAAAUCUGGAAGGCAAUAAAAGUUCAGCUUUGCAGCAAAUGGAUUUUUGGGACCGUGUGGAAAGUGAAAGAAGCUUGUCUUUGGAGGAGACAAAAUUAAAAAAGGAAGCAAAUGAAAGCUAUAAAAAAUGGGUCCUUUUGGAAAAAAGUCAUUGGAGACAACUCUCAAGGGAGAUAUGGCUUAAGGAAUGGGAUAAAAAUACUGGAUUUUUUCAUCAGGUGGCAAAUGCCCACUGUAACAAUAACUUCUUGGACAUAAUUAAAGUUGAUGGGGUUUGGCUCUUAGAGGAGCAGGAAGUAAAGGAAGGGAUUGCUAAUGCUUAUCAGCAGAUGCUCUUUGAAGACUCGGGGUGGAAGACGGAUAUUGUGAGGAUUCAAUUAGAUCAUAUCAGCCAGCAAGAAGCAGAGAAUCUUGAGAUUCUGUUUUCUGAAAAUGAGAUCCAUUCAACCUUGAUAGAGAUGAAUGGGGAUAAAGCCCUUGGGCUGGAUGGUUUUACUAUGGCGUUUUGGCAAAGUAGUUGGGAUUUUGUGAAAGGGGAGAUCUUGGAGAUAUUUAAGAAGUUUCAUGAGCAAAGCUCCUUUCUCAAAAAUCUCAAUAAUACUUUCCUGGUUCUAAUUCUUAAGAAAGGGGGGGGGGGGGGGGGGGGUUGAUCUUGGGGAUUUUAGACCCAUUAGUCUCUUUGGGGGGAGGGGCUAUACAAAUUGCUGGCUAAAGUGUUAGCUAAUAGACCCAAGAGAGUGUUAAGCAAAGUGGUAGCCCCAACCCAGAAUGCAUUUAUGAUGGGAAGACAAAUCCUUGAUGCUUCUUUAAUUACGAAUAAAGUGAUAGACUCGUGGCAGAAAAGAAAAGAGAAAUGGCUCAUAUGUAAAUUGGAUAUUGAGAAAGCGUACGAUAGCAUCAACUGGCAGUUUUUGUUGAAGACUUUACACAAAAUGGGAUUUGGCUCAAAGUGGUUGGGUUGGAUGUGGAGUUGUUUAUCUUCAGCUAAGUUUUCAGUUCUAGUUAAUGGGGUUCCAGCUGGAUUUUUCCCGAGUUCUAAAGGGCUUCGUCAAGGGGAUUACUUAUCUCCUUACCUCUUUGUUCUAGGAAUGGAAGUUCUAGAUGCCCUAAUUAGGAGGGCGGUUGCUGGCGGCUACCUCUCAGGAUGCAGUAUUCAGGGUGAUAGAAGACACAAUCUAAAAAUCUCUCAUCUUUUCUUUGCUGAUGAUACAAUUGUGUUCUAUGAGGCUAAUAAAGAGCAUCUAACACAUUUAAGCUGGAUUCUUUUGUGGUUUGAAGCAACUUCAAUGCCUAAGGAUUAAUUUGGACAAAAGUGAAAUUAUCCCAGUUGGUGUGGUGGAGGAGAUUGAGGAGAUGGCAGUGGAAUUAGGGUGUAGGGUGGGCUCGUUGCCUUCUCAAUACUUGGGCUUGCCAUUAGGGGCUCCUAACAAAGCUCAUUUUGUUUGGGAUGGGGUGGAAGAGAAAGUGAGGAGGAGACUAGCACGGUGGAAACGACAAUAUAUCUCCAAAGGUGGGAGAAUCACUCUCAUAAAGAACACCUUGGCUAGCAUGCCAAUCUAUCAUAUGUCUCUUUUCCAGAUGCCUAAGUCAGUUGCUAGAAGAUUAGAAAAAGUUCAAAGAAAUUUCCUUUGGGGAAGGGGAAGCGUGGAAAGGAAAGCUCAUCUAAUUAAGUGGGAGAUGAUUUGUGCAGACAAGAACAAGGGAGGGCUAGGCUUAAGGAAGCUAGUACUCUUGAACAAAGCUUUGCUUGGUAAAUGGAUUUGGAGAUUCGCUUGUGAUAAAGAUAAUCUUUGGAAGCAAGUGAUAACGAUGAAAUAUGGGCAAGAAGGUCAUGGUUGGAGAGCAAAGAGGGCUUAUGGGGCGUUUGGAGUAGGGGUGUGGAAGGAAAUUUUGAAGGAAACUGAAUGGUGCUGGGACAACAUGGGGUUCUUAGCUGGGAAGGGAAGCCGAAAUUAAUUUUUGGACUGAUGUUUGGUGUAAUGGUACAAGGCUGUCCCAAAAUUUCCCUCAUCUAUUCGCUAUGGCUUCCCAUAGGAAUGCUACGGUAGAGGAAAUGUGGGAUCAGAAUUUCGGUCAAGGGGUUGGAAUCUAAGAUUUUUGAGGGAUUUUAAUGAUUGGGAGUUGGAUAUGAUAGGGGAUUUGCUCCAUGCUCUGAGGAGUUACAAGUCUUCUAUGGAGGAAGAUUCAGUUUGCUGGAAGGGAGGAAAUAAUGGAAAGUUUAGGGUCAAAGAAGCGUAUAGAUUGUGGGUCAGUACCAAUGAUAUUGUUUUUCCGUCAAGAUGCAUUUGGGUAGAUUCAGUUCCAACCAAGGUUGCAUUCUAUGCUUGGGAGGCUACAUGGGGGAGGGUGCUCACUUUUGAUAGGCUCCAGAAAAGAGGAUGACAGCUUUCUAAUUGUUGCUUUCUGUGUGGAUGUGAAGAAGAAACUGUAAAUCAUAUACUUAUUCACUGUAUAGUGGUCAGAGUACUGUGGAAUAUUGUCCUUGGGUUAUCAAGUGUGUAGUGGGUCUUUCUAGAAACUGUAAAGGAGGUCUUAACUGGCUGGAGAGACCCUUUUGUGGGAAAGAAAAGGAAAAAGAUAUGGAAGUCCAUACCGUUGUGUAUUUUUUGGACGGUUUGGAAGGAGAGGAAUAGACUAGCUUUUAGAGGGGGAGUGUUAGAUAUUCAAAAGCUUAAGAAUUCUUUUGUUUGUAGUUUGUGGAGUUGGGCUAGAUUAUAUAUUGGAGAGGAGCAUCUAUCCCUUAUAGGGUUCUUGGAAUGGUUAGCGUCCAAUUAAGGGGUGGUGAGACUUUGUUGGUCCUCUUUUUGUUUUGAGAGGUGGUAGUUGCUUUGUAUACCCCCUGUAUACUUUGUAACUUUCCGUCUCUAUUUUAAUACAAUUUGCUUUACUUAUCAAAAAAAAAAGUUUUAAGGCGACUCCCUAUCCCUUGAGCAGUUUCUAUAUAUAACUUACGUUAGUUGUGGAGAAUUUUACCUGUACCAUCUAAGAAUAGGUUUUGCCUUGUUUCUGUAACUUACAAAUAAAACCCCUUCACCCAAUUACUCCUCAUGUUUUCUUUUGUUGCUUCAUUCUGAUUCUGAUAUGGUCUCUUUAGUAACUUUCAUCUAAACCGAAAUGAAAAGAGAAUAUAUUAAACUCAAGUCAAUUCAAUGUUGCACCUCAUUCCCCACAUGCAACUGUGCUUUACAGCAGUUGUGCUGAGGCAAUGCUUGUAUUCCAAGCAUAUAUUCCUAGCCCACUCAAGGUCUUGGAUUAAACAGAAAGGGUCUGGUUGGAGUUGGUAGAUAUACAGUUAGAAUCUUCUUGUUCUACUUAUAUAUGUAAACAAAAAUAUGUCAUAUACCAAGCCAUGACAAUAUAUUAAACAAAAAAGAGAGAAUGAAGCAGUGGGUGGGAGUUGGUUUGCAAGUGACUUUUUAGGUUGUGUUUUUGGGGUUGCUGUUGGAUGGCCUAGGGUCUAAGUGUUCGGCUUUCCAAAGAGUGGAUGAGGUAGUAGUGAGUUCCUUUGGUUUGUUACUCACCCAAGUGUUUGUAAAGUCUGGAGUUUUUCUGGGUUGUAGGGUGAAGUCUUUUGUUUUGGGUAUUGGUUUGUUGUUUCUCUUUCCUUUUACUUGUAUUUGCCUGCCACUUGUACACUACGUGUGUACUUUCUGCGCCUUUUUCAAGCACUUUUAAUAUAUUUGCUUUAUUUACCUAUCAAAUAUAUAUAUAUUAAACAAAAUAUGAUGUUCUAAGAUAUGAAACCAAUUAUAAAUGGUAUGAAUGGCAUCCCAAGAUCAACAAAUACACUAUGCUCCUUUCUUUUUUUGCUUGUGUUUAUUUUGGUUUUCAUUAAUUUAUGUAGAAUUCUUUGCACGGUUGGGAGAUUGUUCAGAAUGUUUAGAAGAAAUAAUAUGUAAAUCCAAUAAUUAAAAUUAUCUCAACCUAAUCCAAUAUAAAAGAUCACAAAAUCCAGUAAAAAAAUGUUAUAUACCAAGCCAUGACAAUAUAUAUUAAACUAAAUAUAAUCUUCUAAGAUACGAAACCAAUUAUUAAUGGUAUAAAUGGCAUCCCAAGAUCAACAAAUACAUUACUCUCCUUUCUUUUUUGCUUGUGUUUAUUUUUUAUUUGAUGCAGCUUAAGUCUACAUGGUGCAGGGAGCAAUACUAUGAAUUGAUUUAUUCAUCUAUUUGGUUUUCAUUAGUUUUUGUAGAAUGCUUUGCAUGGUUGGGAGAUUGUUCAGAUGUUUAGGAGAAACAAUAUGUAAAUAGAAUAAUUAGAAUUAUUUCAACCUAAUCCAAUGUAAGGAUCAUAAAACCUAGACUGACCCCACCUAUUAAAUAAUGCUCUCAUGGCUGCCCCUUAGUUAUACUUUUUUUUUUUUUGAUAGAUAAGAAGAUAAAUAUAUUAGAAAGGGCUGCCAAAAGAGCAACCCAUAGUUGUUAUAUUACAUAUUAAACAAUGCUCUUAUGGCUGUCCCAUAGUUGUUAUACUACACAUUAAAUAAUGCUCUUAUACCUGUCCCAUAGUUAUACUACUAGCAGGUCAAAUGUAGGUUUAGCAACUAGCAUAUUUCAUAUUAGCAGAAAUAAAUUGCAGAUUCUAAGAGAUAUAUGAUAUAAUUUUGUUGAGUAAAGGAAAAGAAAACAAUGAAAAAGGGUAUACUGUUAGCACAUUUACCAUUUCAUAAUGCUAAUGCUGAUCAUCAAGAGGUAGAAAAAUAGAACUUCAUGUGAAACUGGUCAUGCUUAGCUUCUGGUCCACCAUUUUAUUGUUAGUUGUCACCUUCCAUAACAAGUUAAGACUGUUAGUUGAUACAGUGAAAACUCAACUUUGGUCACAUUGACCAGAUUCAAAUUCUACGAGCUUGUGCUUGUGAUAAGUAUCAAAUUAAAGAUUAGAACACGUCACUUGAUGGUGCCAGUUUUUUUUUUGUUUUUUCACGCAUGUUCAUAUGCACCAGGUCAAGUUCACACUAGAUUAUCUAAUACUCAUUUUCUAUUUUGAUGCUUGUUUUACAAGUUCUUCUAAUGACUAGAUGGUAGUUUUGAGAGGAAGAAAAUCUUGCCUUUGAUAGAAGUAGAACCAAUGUUUUAUGCAUUUAAACUCCUGGUAUAUUGGAAAUUAUUAGGUGCUGGGUUAGGAUCCUCAUUAGAGAUAAGAAGACUUUAUUUCCACUUGUAUUGAACACUAUUAUAUUCAAAAUCCAGACCUCAAUGCUUACGUGGAUUUCGGAUUUCAUAAUGAAGUUAUUGAAUUCAGGUUAGGCAGGAUUAGGUUUGUUUCAACCUUAUACAUGAUGGAAACCAAUGAACUUAAUUGAAUAGAUGGAGUUGGACUUAAGUUGGCUUGACAUCCCAUGUGGAAUCCUUAGCUUUAAGUUGGUCAAGAAAAGCCAUCACCCGUAGGCCUUGUCCCAAUGGGCAAUUUCUAUUGACUUUCUUACUUACCCAGCAGGAAGGUCAUGUUUGAAUUGUUGGAAUAGUGGGCCAUGUCCCAAUUGGCAAUUUCUAUUGACUUUUCUUACUUACCUAGCAGGAAGGUCAUGUUUGAAUUGUUGGAAUAGAGGAUGGGGAGGUGAAAAUCAGCUCUAUCUAUUAUAUCUUUUUGAGCUUUAAUCCUAACACCCCUCACAUACAACAUCUCUAGAUUGAAUAGAUUGAAUUAAAUUUGAGUUGGCUUGGCAGCCCAUGUAUGCCCUUCAGCCCUGAAUUGGUCAAGAAAAGCCAUCACACAUUGUCUCACUCUGCAAUUGGGAGAUGAUAUCUUUGCCCAUAUGUUCUAAUAGGAAUAAAAUAUUGUGAUUGUUGUGAUUUCUUACAUGAUUAUCUACCAUUCUGAAUUGAUCAUUAGGAAGACCACUUCCCACAACCAACUUCAUCUUUCUGGUAUGGGUCAAUUUGAAGGUCUUAAGGAAUGGGUCCAAGCCUGGAAAUUGGAAACCCUAGCACAAGUUGCAGGAUAAGGAUGAGAAAGACAAGUCAAUAUGAAAAUGGAAACUGGGUUUUUCCUGAAUCGCUUAACAAAAAAGAAAGUGACCACCAAUUUCAUGUUGAAUUGGAGCAUUUCUUAAAGUGGGGUUCAUUCAGAAGAUGCAAAGUCUAUGGGAAUAAUGACGUAGUGUGGUGUUCAAGAAAGUGACAGCAUAUGUGUUUCUUGAACCCUAAGUUUACACGGAAAGGUUUAUUUUGGUGUGGAAUUGGGCUUUUUUUUUUGGCGGAAAACUGGGUUUUCAUUUCUAAAAUUUCCAUAAUUCUAAGUUUACUUUUAGAUUUUGAAAAUUUUUAAGUCUUAAAAAGAGUUUAAAGAAAAUAAGAUAAUUUUCUACUUUUUAUUUAAGAGUUUUUUUAUUUUAUGUAAAAAUUUAUUUUUAAAAAUAAGAAAAAAAAAUCUAGAUAGUUAAUGUUUUUUUUUUAAAAAAAUUGUUCGGUAAUUUUAAGUAUUUACGUCUUAACUUUUAAAAGAAUGAAUUAUUUUUAUAAGAAAAGAAUAAGAUCAUUUUUGUUAAAAUAUAGUAAAAAAAAUGACGGAGGAAUAGUUAGAUUUUCAAAAUUGGGUUUUCAAUUACCCUUUUAAUCAAAUAAUCCAUAUAUAUAUAUAUAUAUAUAUAUAUAUAUAUGAUGAAAAUUAAUUAACUAAAAUGGUCGAAUUAAAACGUUCAACAUUUGCUAAUUUGGUGGAAAUAUUAAUAAAAAAUAGACCAUUGAUUUGUUUAUCGAAGCAAGAAAAAAAAAACACUUCAUACAUUCGAAUGAGAAAGGAAAUUACCUAAAAUGUUCGAAUUGAAAAGCUACACCAUUUGCUAAUUCGGUGAAAAUAUUUGCUAAAUCGGUGAAAAUAUUAAUGAAAAAUAGACAAUUGAUUCAUUUUAUCAAACCAAAAAAAAAUAAAAAACGCGUCAUUUCAUACAUUUUCAUGAGAAAGAAAAAUUAGUCAACUAAAAUGGUCGAAUUAGAAAGCUACACCAUUUGCUAAUUGAUUCGGUAUACCAAAGUAAGAAAAAAAAACACUUCAUGCAUUUUCUUGAUUUUCUCAUGUACCCUAUGAUAAUAUGGAAAAUUAUUUCAUAAACUCAUUUUAUAUAUAUCACAUUUUUUUUUUCACUUAUUAAACAAAAAAAAUACAAAUGUUGGUUUUGACUUAAAUUUUGGCUUGGAAGUUAAUUUGGUUACAUGAAAAAUAUUAAAAUAUUUUUGAAAAAGGAAAAUUUUCAUAUUGAACAUGAAUUAAUUGAAUGAAUCAUGGAUUCAUGAUAUUAUUAAGUUAUUAACUAAAAAUUGCAAUAAUUGAGAAAUUCUUGAAUAGUUUGUUUGAAGUCACAUUCUAGACUUCUAGGGUUUAAGAUUUUCUUGGAAUUUGGGUGGUUUCUUUACCCUCAAGCUAUGCCAUGACCAUAUUUGCCUGAUUCAAUAAAUUGAAAACAAAUGAAGGAAAUAAAAAGAUUAUAAAAAGCCCAUUAAAAUUGGACCAAUACUAAAUUAAUUGCAUACCUUGUUUGAAUAUUGUGCUACUAUACUAUUUUUUAUGAACAAGAGGAAAUGACAAUUAUGAACAUGGAUGUAAAUAAAAUAAAAUACAUAUUUUAAUAUAAUUUUAUUAUUUUUAAUCAUAUUUUUUAUUUAAAUAAUUGUUUUACUAUUUUUCUCGCUACAUUACUAAAUUGGUAUCCAAUAAAAGGAGAAUCGAUCACGACAUGCGUUGCUCUCGUUGUUUCGUACCUAAUUUGUAUCUUCAAUCUUAUUUAUUUAUACUUAUUUCAUUAAAUAUACCUUGAUCUUAUAUAUUUAUACUCUUAUCCAAUCACUUAAAUUUUAUUAUGUAUCUUCAACGAUUGAAAUUAUGCAUUCAGAAGGUACUAGUUUGGUACUUACGAAUUUUCAUUAUUUUUAAAACAAAAGGUAAAUUGAUGUUUGGUAAGAUGAAACAAACCAAAAAAGAAAAAGGAAAAAAAAAGAGAAAAGAAUAUGCCAAAGACAAGAGACAAAAGCAUGAUUCCAAUUCCAAAAGGGUUGAAAGAUUUAAUCAUGUUUCUUAUCCACAUAACUAUUUUACUAUUUUUCUCGCUACAUUGUCGAAUUGGUAUCUAGUGAAAAGAGAAUCGAUCACAACAUGUAUUGGUCUCGUUGCUUUGUACUUAAUUUGUGUUUCAUUAUUUUAUACCUUAGUUUGUUUUUUUUUUUUUUUUGCACUUCAAUCUCAUUUAUUUAUAUUUAUUUCAUUAAAUGUACAUUGAUCUCAUAUACUUAUACUCUCGUUUAAUAACCUAAAUUUUAUAAUAUCUUCAAUGAUGAACUUUCAACGAUUGAAAUUACGUGUUCAGAAGGUACUUAAUCGGUACUUGUGAAUUUUCAUUAUUUGUAAAGCAAAAGGUAAAUUCAUAUUUGGUAUGCAUGAUGUGCAAACAUGUUUUAUAAAGCCAAAAAAAAAAAAAAAAAUGCCAAACAUGGGACUAAAGCAUAAUUCCCAUUCCAAAAGGGCUAGAGAUAUAAAGUUUGGAACUUGUUAUAUCAAGGCUGUACUAUGUAAGACCCACCAAAGCAGCCAUGUGAUGAAUAAGUGACAACUCCUUCAUUUAUGAUAAAAUAAAGACACCAAUUCAAAUAAAUAAAUAAAUAAAAUAUAAUAUACAUAAGAGGUAAUGCAUUAGAAGAAUGGAGGGAUCAAGAAAGGCAGCCCAACCAGCCAAUGGAAAAUAGUCAAAAUACCUAGUCUAUUCCUCCAUUUUUGGCCUUCAAUAAACCCUAGAUUCCCUCCCUCCACCCCACACCUUUUUCUUUUUAUUUUUUAAUUUAUUUAUUUAUGAUUAUUUUUAGUCUAAUUAUCUAUAAAAUAACAAUAACCCACAUUAGAAAUCAUUUUUUUUUUCUUCUUCUGUAUCUUAAUUAGCUGAAAUUUAGAAAUUACCCAUAUGUUUUUUUUAUUAAAAAAAAAAAAACCUUUCUUGACUGAAGUUUCUAAAAAUAACAACCAUGUAUAUAUUAUUAAUUCUAUUUUUUAAAGAAGGAAAAGGAAAGUUUCUGAAUAGAAAAAGAGAAGCUUCUCAGAUAUUUCAUGUUUGAUUUUAGGCAUUUUAUACGCGUAUGUUUAUGUCUAUAAAUACAUGCACCACCUGAGCUUUUCUUCAUAUAUUCUUCUCCUGCAUCCCUCUUUCUCUCAUAUUCUUGGCUUUCUUUUGCUUUGCUGUUGUUAUUGUUGUUGUUGUUGUUGUUGUUGUUGAAGAAGAAGAAGAAGAAGAAGAGAUGAUUCAUUCAAUUGUUGGUGCCAUUACUGGCGAAAAUGAUAAGAAGAAGAUCAAGGGAACUGUUGUGUUGAUGAAGAAGAAUGUGUUGGAUUUUAAUGACUUCAAUGCAUCGGUUCUGGACCGGGUUCAUGAGCUGUUGGGACAGGGAGUCUCUCUGCAGCUCGUCAGUGCUGUUCAUGGUGAUCCUGGUGAGUUUUUUAUUUUAUUUUAUUUUUUUAUUUUUUUUCAUGUUUUUGAUGAUGGGGUUAUUGAAGUUGGAGGAGAGGAGAAUGAUGCCGUUUUGUGAGGGGUGAGAUGGGUUUUGAGUUUUGAUGAUGGGAGUUGGAAGAAGAUGUGUUUUUUGGAAGAGGUCAAGAGGGGUUAUUCUCAGAAAUUGAGUCAAUGAGUUUCUUGACAUCUUCCAUUCAACUGGGCACUUUUCUAACUGCUUUUGUUUUUUGUGUUUUGUUUUUAAUGCUUUUGUUUUCUACUUCUUUCUCUUGUUUAUAUUUCUUUUCAUCAACCACUAUACAUGCCCACCUAACUCAAUAUGAAAUUCCCAUGCAGCUGCCCUUUUUUUUAAGCCACUAGAUCUUGGGUGAUUUUUUAGUCUUAGAUCUUGGGUUAGAUUUCCCCAGAUUUCACAAAAGUUGAAACUGAAAUUCAUAAAAUUUUUGAGGAUCACUCCUGUUGGAGUUAAAGAGAAAGAAUUGCCAUAAACCAAGGAGAUGAAUUGUUGUGAAAUAUUUCUCAAAACUUCAUCAUCAAAUACCUGCCAAAACAGCCACAGUUUCUGAAAUUUCAUGCAGCAAAGCCACUGCUGCUUGUAGCAAGUCCAAGCUCAAACAUAAAAGCCUUUUCAACCCAGUGAUUUUUGAGAAUAACAUGUAAAAAUGCAGUGACCAUCUGUUAGUGAUGAUAUUGAACUUGUGUGCCUUUUGUAGCAAAUGGGUUACAGGGGAAACUUGGGAAACCAGCAUACUUGGAAGACUGGAUUACCACAAUUACUUCUUUAACCGCUGGCGAGUCUGCAUUCAAGGUCACGUUCGACUGGGAUGAGGAGAUUGGAGAGCCAGGGGCAUUCAUAAUUAGAAACAAUCACCACAGUGAGUUUUACCUCAGGACUCUCACUCUUGAAGAUGUUCCUGGACGUGGCAGAAUUCACUUUGUUUGUAAUUCCUGGGUCUACCCUGCUAAGCACUACAAAACUGACCGUGUUUUCUUCACUAAUCAGGUAAGACUAAUUUGCUUGAUACUAGGAGAGUCUGCUGUGGCAUUGUGGCCCAUUGAGCUUAGGCAAGGAGAAUUGUCUGCUAAAGGAAUGUGUUUAUUUUAUCUGCUGCAGACAUAUCUUCCAAGUGAAACACCAGGGCCACUGCGCAAGUACAGAAAAGGGGAACUGGUGAAUCUGAGGGGAGAUGGAACCGGAGAGCUUAAGGAAUGGGAUCGAGUGUAUGACUAUGCUUACUAUAAUGAUUUGGGGAAGCCAGACAGGGAUCUCAAAUAUGCCCGCCCUGUGCUGGGAGGAUCUGCAGAGUAUCCUUAUCCCAGGAGGGGAAGAACUGGUAGACCACCAUCUGAAAAAGGUAGAUAUUUGAUACACAAAUUCAUAUUGUUUUCUCAUGCUUUUAUCAUAAAAGGAUGAAUAUGAUUGAUUUCUGCUCUUCUUUUAAUUAACAGAUCCCAAAACUGAGAGCAGAUUGCCACUUGUGAUGAGCUUAAACAUAUAUGUUCCAAGAGAUGAACGAUUUGGUCACCUGAAGAUGUCAGACUUCCUGGCUUAUGCCCUGAAAUCCAUAGUUCAAUUCCUUCUCCCUGAGUUUGAGGCUCUAUGUGACAUCACCCCCAAUGAGUUUGACAGCUUCCAAGAUGUAUUAGACCUCUACGAAGGAGGAAUCAAGGUCCCAGAGGGCCCUUUACUGGACAAAAUUAAGGACAACAUCCCUCUUGAGAUGCUCAAGGAACUUGUUCGUACCGAUGGGGAACAUCUCUUCAAGUUCCCAAUGCCCCAAGUCAUCAAAGGUACUGCAUACAUCUAACAUCUUGUAAUCUUUGAAGCCAGAUUUAUAUAUUUAUUUUUCAUAAAAUUGAUGACGUUUUUAUCAUGCUGGAGCAGAGGAUAAGUCUGCAUGGAGGACUGACGAAGAAUUUGCUAGAGAAAUGCUGGCUGGACUCAACCCAGUUGUCAUCCGUCUACUCCAAGUAAACUACAGCUUCCUUUCAAAUAAUUUUUAAUGCCCUGUUUGUUUUCUGAGAAAAUGGAACUUGGAAAGGCUUCCAGACUUUGUUUUCUUUCCCUCCAUCUACUGUUCUAGCUCUUUUCUGAUAAUUAUUGGCUCUUUCUACUUUGUUUGAAGGAGUUUCCUCCAAAAAGCAAGCUGGAUCCUGAAGUUUAUGGCAACCAAAACAGUUCAAUAACCAAAGAACACAUAGAGAAUCACCUGGAUGACCUUACUAUAAACGAGGUAACGCUCUUAGGUUCCGUUCUUUCAAACUAAAUUUUUCAAUGUCGACAUGUUAAUUUUUUGCAUUGGAACACAAGCCAUAGUAACUGAAAAAUGGUGCUUUUUACUAGGCAAUGGAGAAGAAGAGGCUAUUCAUAUUAGAUCACCAUGAUGUUUUCAUGCCAUACCUGAGGAGGAUAAACACAACUUCCACGAAAACUUACGCCUCAAGGACUCUCCUCUUCCUGAAAGACGACGGAACUUUGAAGCCACUGGCGAUUGAAUUGAGCCUACCACAUCCUAAUGGGGAUAAAUUCGGAGCUGUCAACAAAGUAUACACACCAGCUGAAGAUGGCGUUGAAGGUUCCAUUUGGCAGCUGGCUAAAGCUUAUGCUGCUGUGAAUGACUCUGGCUAUCAUCAGCUCCUCAGCCACUGGUACGUAAUCUCCCAAAGGAAAGUGCGUACAGUUGGGGCGUAAAUCUGAAGCGGGUUAUGAAUAUCUUUGAUGUUGGUUGCAGGUUGAAUACACAUGCUGCAAUUGAGCCAUUUGUGAUUGCAACCAACAGGCAGCUCAGUGUGCUUCACCCAAUUCACAAGCUUUUGCAUCCUCACUUCCGUGAUACGAUGAAUAUAAAUGCAUUAGCUCGACAAAUCCUCAUCAAUGCUGGUGGAGUGGUGGAGAGCACAGUUUUUCCAUCAAAGUAUGCCAUGGAAAUGUCAUCUGUUGUUUACAAAGACUGGGUUCUCACUGAGCAAGCACUUCCUGCUGAUCUCAUCAAGAGGUAUAUAAAUACUGUUAGUGAUUGUUUUCUUUCCUGCUGUGCAAUGAAUCUAGUGAAAAUUGUGAUUUUCAUCUAACUGAUAUGCUCCAACUUGGGCACUCUUUCAGAGGAAUGGCGGUUGAGGAUUCAGAGGCCCCUCAUGGACUCCGCCUACUGAUAGAUGACUACCCCUAUGCUGUUGAUGGACUUGAGAUCUGGUCAGCUAUUGAGACAUGGGUGAAAGAGUAUUGCUCAUUCUACUACAAGACAGAUGAGAUGGUCCAGAAAGACUCUGAGCUUCAGUCCUGGUGGAAGGAAGUCAGGGAAGAGGGUCAUGGCGACAAGAAGGACGAGCCUUGGUGGCCUAAAAUGCGUACUGUCAAAGAGCUGAUAGAAACAUGCACCAUUAUCAUCUGGGUGGCUUCUGCUCUCCAUGCUGCAGUGAAUUUCGGGCAGUACCCUUAUGCAGGCUACCUCCCAAACCGCCCAACGAUAAGCCGCAGAUUCAUCCCUGAAGAAGGCACUCCUGAGUAUGAAGAACUCAAGUCCAAUCCUGAUAAGGCUUUCCUGAAAACAAUCACUGCCCAGCUGCAGACCCUUCUUGGCAUCUCCCUUAUUGAGGUCCUUUCCAGGCAUUCUUCCGAUGAGGUUUAUCUUGGACAGAGAGACACUCCUGAAUGGACCCUGGACACAACACCAUUGAAAGCUUUUGAGAAAUUCGGAAGGAAGCUGGCAGACAUUGAAGAAAUGAUCAUAGAUAGAAAUGGAAAUGAGAGAUUCAAGAACAGAGUUGGGCCUGUGAAGAUACCAUACACACUGCUCUACCCCACAAGCGAAGGUGGGCUUACUGGCAAAGGGAUUCCCAACAGUGUCUCCAUCUAAAUUUUCCUGGAAAAUCAUGAGCACACUGCUGAUCAAGAUGGCUUAAAUGCACAUUGCUAAUAUAGUAUACUGUAAUUUAUAAUACCUAUUUUUCGACUUUGUAGGAUUCAUAUUGAUGCAUAUAUUUAUAAUAAGGAAUUAUUUAUUGCUAGAAAAUUGGGAGCUUUUCACUUUUUUUAUGAUCUGUGCCACACUUAAUGUUAAAAGAUGAAGGUGAAGUAGCAAAACAGUUGAUCUGAAUGCGCAGCCAUUGAUAUCAGGAAUCAAAGUCAGAUGGUGCAAAUGCUCUCAAAACAUCCACCCUCCCACAAAAUUAUCUAUAAUUUACAUGUUAACAAGAACUCAAGAGUGAGUAAGAAACUAUGUUGAGAAAUACUUUCUGAAACCACUGAGGAAAGUGUCCAUUUGAAGAAGUGUGAGACUCUUACCUAAGAAGUGUCUGUAGAUUUGAAUAGUAACUGCCAAUAUCUCUAUCAAAUCUUUAUUAUUACAUGUAUUAGAUUUUGAUAUGAUGCUUGGAUAGUAUGCCUAUAAACAAAUGCAUCCCCGAGCUUCUUCUUUGUAUAUUCUUCUGCUCUCACAUUCUUGGCUUUCUUCUGCUUAGCUUUGUUGUUGUUGUUGAAGAAGAAGAGAUGUUUGUUCAAUUGUUAGUGCCAUUACUGGUAAAAAUGAUAAGAAGAAGACAAGGGAGCAGUUGUGCUGAUGAGAAGAAUGUGUUGGAUUUAAUGACUUCAAUACAUCGGCUCUGGACCGGGUUCAUGAGCUCUUAGGACAGGGAGUCUCUCUGCAGCUAGAAUUUUGACUCGUGUAGACAGACAUAGAAUCAAACUGAAUUUAUUGAUCAUUACAUAAUUGGAUUAAGAGCUAUAUAUUCUUCUUGUUGAUCAACAGUUAUCUUCAAGGGGUAGAAAAACAUAACUUCAUGUGUGACUGGUCAUGUUUAGCUUCUGGUCCACCAUUUCAUUGUUAGUUGUCACCUUCCAAAACUAAGUGAAGACUGGCAGUUGAUACAGUGAAAACUUCACAUGCUCGCACUUCACUCUUCACACUAGCUUAUCUACUACUCAUUUUCUACUUUGAUAUCAUCUUGGUUUUCAAGUCUUCUAAUGACUAGAUUGCAAUUUCAAGAGGAAGAAAAUCUUGCCUUUGAUGAAGCCUGUUUUCAGCCUUUUAAGUAUUAAGUUGUUUGUUUUUGUAAUAUUUUGUUUAUAUUAAAUAUUAAAAAAAUAAAGAAAAAGCAAAAUAUUUGAUUUUUUUUUUCUAUUUAGCCAAAAACUAAUAAUAAGUCAUGAAAAAAAUGGAAAAACAAACAAUGUAAAGUUUGAAAGCAAAUUACUUUCAGCAAAAGAUUAAAAAAACAAAUACCCUCGAAGUUCGACUUAAGUUGGCUUAACAUCGAUCUCAUGUAGACCGGGAUCCUUAGCUGGCCCAUGGCCCAUAUCCCAUGUCCUAAUUGGCAAUUUUUAUUGACUUUCUUACAUUCCUUGCACUAAGGUCAUGUUUGAAACGUUGGAAUAAAGAAUGGGAAGGGAAAAUCGAUUCUAUCUAUUAUAUUUUUCAUUCAUUCAUGUGUUCGGAUUGUUCUUAAGAACGAAAAUAAUAAAAAAAUUCACUAUUAUGGAAAUCAAAUGCUACUCUCAUUAGGAUUUUUAUUCCUCUUUUCUAAAUGCCAAACGUGUCUAAAUUGAAUAGAUUGAGUUAAAUUUGAGUUGGCAUGGCAGCACAUGUAUGUCCUUUAGGCUGAGUAGGUCAAGAAAAGCCAUCUCACAUUGUCUCACCAAGCAAUUGUGAGAUGAUAUCCUUACCCAUAUGUUCUAAUAGGAAUAAAAUAUUAUGAUCAUUGUGAUUUAUUACAUGACUAUCUACCAUUCUGAAUUGAUUGUUAGGAAGAGCACUUCCAACAACCAACUUCAUCACUUUGGUAUGGUCAAUUUGAAGGUCUUAUGGUUUGGAAAUUGGAAAUCCUAUAUAAAAAUUUUAUUUUUAAAAAUAAAAAAUAAAAAAUAAAUCAAAAUAGUUAUUUUAAAAAUAAAAAUCAACAUGAAGGUGGAAUAGUUCUCUUUCCUUAUAAUAGGUGGAAGGCAAGUAACACCCAAAAAUAAAUAUACAAGGAAAAUUAGUUACAUUUGAAAGCUACAUCAUUAAGUAAUUUGGUAGAAAUAUUAAUGAAAAGUAGGCAAUUCAUUCAUGUUUCAUCAAAUCAAGUGGAAAGCUGUAUGCAUUGUUGACUAAUUUGCUGGAAAUAUUAAUGAUGAUUGAUGUUGUUUACAUAGACAUGUGGUUGUAUUGAUGGUUUGUGUGAGACCAAACAUUUUUUGGGUAUUGCAUGAAUUUGUGUUGCACCUGCAUAGUUAUAUAAAUAGCAAUUCGGUAAAUGUUUGAACAAAAUAUGAUCGAAAAACCGUCACAACAAAACUUCUACAAUACAUCUCAUUGCGGCUUUUAUUAUAUAGUAGAGAUAUGAGUAAGAAUAAAUGACGAUUUCUAUGGCCUAUAAUAUUGAGAAAGCAAAUAAGAAAAUUAUGUGGUUCGUAAUUAUUAGGCUAUUAAAUAUUUUGUGCCCCUGCGACCAAAAUUAUAACCAUGGAUGUAAAUAAAAUAAAAUAAAAACAUAUUUUAAUAUAAUUUUAUUGUUUUUAAUCAUGUACAUGACUAUUUUACUAUCGCUCUCACUACAUUAUCGAAUUGGUAUUCAAUGAAAAGAGGAUUGAUCACAAUAUAAGUUGGUAUAAUUACUCAGUACCUAAUUUGUGUUCUAUUAUUUUAUACUUUAAUAUCUUUUUUUGUACUUUAAUCUCAUUUAUUUAUAUUUAUUUUAUUAAAUAUACCUUGAUAUCAUAUAUUUGUACUCUCAUUUAAUAUCCUAAAUUUUAUCAUAUAUCUUCAAUGAUCGAUUUUCAAUGAUUGAAUUAUGUGUUUAGAAGGUACUGAAUCGGUACUUACUAAUUUUCAUUAUUUUUAAAGCAAAAGGUAAAUUGACAUUUGGUAUGUAUGAUGUGCAAUCAUGCCUCAUAAAGCCAAAACAAAGCAAAGAAUAUAUAUAUAUAUAUAUAUAUAUAUAUAUAUGCCAAAGACAUGAGAAUAAAGCAUGAUUCCAAUUCCAAAAGGGUUGAGAGAUUUAAGACCCACUUUAUAGAGCAACCAUGUGAUAAAUACACCAAUUGAAAUAUAUAUAUAUAUAUAUAUAUAUAUAUAUAAUAUACAUAGUCCAUUCCUUCUUUUGGCCUUUAAUAAACCCUAGAUUCUCAUAUACCUUUUUUUUUUUUUUUAUUCUAGUUGUCAGUGAAAUAACAAUAACCCAUUAAAUGGAAAAUACAUAAUUCAUAAUAGAAAUCAUUUUUUUCGGUUUUCUAUCUUAUUUUGUUGAAAUUAGAAACUACCCAUUUUUUUUAUUAAAAAAAAGAAAAAAAGAAAAAAAAGAAAAAUCUGUCUCGACUGAAGUUGGUCAGUAUAGACUUGCAGCCAUGUGUAUGUUAUUAAUUCUAUUUUUUUUUUGAAGGCAUAGGAAAGUUUCUAAAUAGAAAAAGUGAAGCUUCUCAAAAACGUCAUAUAGCAUAUGUGCGUAAAAAAUACUUGCACCACCUGAGCUGCUUCUUCAUACAUACUUCUCCUUCAUCUCUCUGUCUAUCAUAUUCUUGGCUUUCUUUUGCUAUGUGGUUGUUAUUGUUGUUGAAGAUGAUGAUGAUGAUGAUGAAGAAGAAGCUUCUUUCAAUUGUUAGUGCCAUCACUGGGGAAAAUGAUAAGAAGAAGAUCGAGGGAACUAUUGUGUUGAUGAAGAAGAAUGUGUUGGAUUUUAAUGACUUCAAUGCACCGGUUCGGGACCGGGUUCAUGAGCUUUUUGGACAGGGAGUCUCUCUGCAGCUCGUCAGUGCUGUUCAUGGUGAUCCUGGUGAGUUUUUUUUUUUUUUUUUUUCCUUCAUGUUUUUGAUGAUGGGGUUGUUGAAGUUGGAGGAGAGGAGGUUGAUACCGUUUUGUGAGGGUGAGAUGGGUUCUGAAUUUUGAUGAUAGCAAUUGGAAAAAGAUGUGAUUUUUGGAAGAGGCCAAGAGGGGUUGUUAUUCUCAGAGAUGAGUCAAAUGACUUUCUUGACAUCUUCCAUUCAAGUGGCCAUUUUUCUAAGUGCUUUUGUUUUUUGUGUUUUGUGUUUUUUGUUUUGAUGCUUUUGUAGCAAAUGGGUUACAGGGGAAAAUUGGAAAACCAGCAUACUUGGAAGACUGGAUUAUCACAAUCACUUCUUUAACCGCGGGCGAGUCUGCAUUCAAGGUCACGUUCGACUGGGAUGAGGAGAUUGGAGAGCCAGGGGCAUUCAUAAUUAGAAACAAUCACCACAGUGAGUUUUACCUCAGGACUCUCACUCUUGAAGAUGUUCCUGGACGUGGCAGAAUUCACUUUGUUUGUAAUUCCUGGGUCUACCCUGCUCAGCACUACAAAACUGACCGUGUUUUCUUCACUAAUCAGGUAAGACUAAUUUGCUUGAUACUAGGAGAGUCUGCUGUGGCAUUGUGGCCCAUUGAGCUUAGGCAAGGAGAAUUGUCUGCUAAAGGAAUGUGUUUAUUUUAUCUGCUGCAGACAUAUCUUCCAAGUGAAACACCAGGGCCACUGCGCAAGUACAGAGAAGGGGAACUGGUGAAUCUGAGGGGAGAUGGAACAGGAAAGCUUAAGGAAUGGGAUCGAGUGUAUGACUAUGCUUACUAUAAUGAUUUGGGGAAUCCAGACAGGGAUCUCAAAUACGCCCGCCCUGUGCUGGGAGGAUCUGCAGAGUAUCCUUAUCCCAGGAGGGGAAGAACUGGUAGACCACCAUCUGAAAAAGGUAGAUAUUUGAUGCAAAAAUUCAUAUUGUUUUCUCAUGCUUUUAUCAUAAAAGGAUGAAUAUGAUUGAUUUCUGCUCUUCUUUUAAUUAACAGAUCCCAACACCGAGAGCAGAUUGCCACUUGUGAUGAGCUUAAACAUGUAUGUUCCAAGAGAUGAAAGAUUUGGUCACCUCAAGAUGUCAGACUUCCUGGCUUAUGCCCUGAAAUCCAUAGUUCAAUUCCUUCUCCCUGAGUUUGAGGCUCUAUGUGACAUCACCCACAAUGAGUUUGACAGCUUCCAAGAUGUAUUAGACCUCUACGAAGGAGGAAUCAAGGUCCCAGAGGGCCCUUUACUUGACAAAAUUAAGGACAACAUCCCUCUUGAGAUGCUCAAGGAACUUGUUCGUACUGAUGGGGAACAUCUCUUCAAGUUCCCAAUGCCCCAAGUCAUCAAAG